rnacentral:lncRNA from 1 species
CACAAAAUCGAUGGGAGUAUACUGCGAAGAACUUGUACUCGAUUCGCUGAAAAUGUUUUUAAUCACAAUGCAUGCACUUCCAGUUUGAAGUUGCUUAUGACAGGACACGGAGGAACAUAACAGUGGACUAGACAGUCCGUUGCUGCCUUCCGACACAAAAUAAACCAGCCAUCAAAUAGACAUCAACUCCAGGUAGCCCAUCAGUAGAAGAAAAAUGGAGAACACCAUCCUGAAUCAACCGUAGAUAAGCUCUCCUGCACAACAUAGAUAAAGGUGGUGAGGACAAUUGAAGGGUGCAGAAGACAUCUCAUGCCAAAAAAAAAAUUAUUAUAUUGCACAUGUUUACAAAGACAAUAUUGCAAAUGUUUACAGCUCAAUAGUGUCGCAUAACAUAUAACUGCUGUAGUACACACGAUAUCACUUAGCGCAACAUCAGGUUUAGCCUUCCGCUGUUUUUGCUGGUAUCAAUACGUAAUAAUUAUAUUUGCAAUCUUCUUAGAUGGGUACAUAGGUCUUAGGUUCUUAGCUUACAGAAUGUAAGUCACACUUUUGUUCCUACACAAUUUAGUUAUAAGAAAGGUUCUGUCAAAGCUAUCAUGGAAUUUAACUACUUUUAAGUCGUUGUCACUUCCACAGGGAGCAAAACGACUUUCACAUGUCAAUGAAUAAUGACUCCAUUCCUCAAAAGUGUCAAACUCUGCAAAAGGCCUUCAAAAGGACUUAAAUCCAUAUGCACAUUUGAAGUUCACCAGAACAUUAAACCGGUUUGCUAAACCAUUUUUCUGACAUGUCAUCUGAUAACCAUUGACCUAACGUACUAACGCAAAAGGUGAAUACAGCUAAUAGAUCUUACGCCGUUAUUUGGAAGUAUCAUAUGGUGCUAUGCAACUUCAUAAAUGAACAAAAUGGUGAUACAAAAAGAUGGCCUGCACUAACUUGAUUCAAACUAUGCAUAGCCAACGCAACACACAGUGCGAGCUAUAAUCACAAAUGAUCCCCAACAAAUGUGUCAUUCAACAGUUUCCUUUGCCAUUCGAGAACUAUAACAGAAAAGUGCAAGCCAUAUAAGUGGCCAAACUUUGUAAAGCUCAAGGAUGUCCUGAGAAUUUGCAUCAGUGGCAGAAUGAAAUGGAUGUGAAACAGAGAACACCAAGAUCAUUCAGAUCCUCAUACAGUUCCACUAUUGGCGGUCAUAUAGACCAAUCAAUUGCCACUACGCAAGUGAUUCAAAUGCACAAUUGCCCCCACAAUAUUGUUCCCGACAGCCAGAAUUCAUACAAACAAUCACCCAAUUCACCAAACAAGUUCACAGACCCCGCCAGAACAUUUUGCAUCUAACCUACCGCACGCCACGUCCAUGCGACCUUAUAAUUAAAUUAUAAACCAUACGACAAUCGUCAGGCAGACGGGGUUCAAUCCCCGGAAAAUCAUCUCAUCGCACCACCGGAUCGGAUCAGGAAACGGAAAUGACACAAUAGAACCCUCACCUGCGCGAGGCGGAUCCGGAUCUAGUGGCCGCCGUGCUUCUCGAGGUGCUCGAGGUGGCGGCGCUCCUGGGGCAGGCCCACGAGGUACGAGAAGGCCAUGCCGCCGAAGCAGAUGUGGAAGAGCGGGUCAGCCGAGCUGGUCUCGAUGUACUUCUCGAUGUAGCGGUCCACCGCCUGGUCGGUGCUCUUCUUCACGUUCGCCCAGGUGAGGCGCGGCUUGAGGUACGCCGGCACCUCGCGCACCUUCAUCGCGCGGAUCUCGUUGUACAGCGCACGCAUCGCCAUGGCCGCGACCUUGGAGAUCUCCCUCUCUCUCUCCUCGUGCGCUCGGAGUCUAGGGUUCGUUUGGUCGUUGGCUUCGGUGGGGAGGGGAGGAUGGAAUGGCACAGGAGGUGGGGGAUUUGUUUGGGUGGUAAUCACCGGAGUAUUGGGUUGGGUUGGGUUGGGUUGGGCUGGGCGUAAAUGAUACGGUGACAAGAAUGACGGGCCUUUGGUGGACCAAGGGUUAUGCUGGGCCAUCUCAUUUUUUUUAGGGGAAAAGCAAUUUUAUUACUCAAAUUCCAUAGAACGUGGGAUACAAACUUGGUCAUGUGGUUGGCCAAGCCACACAUGGCGCCCCCUGAGCUAAGGACAUAGCAAAUUUAGCUAACCUAUGUGCUUUAAAAUUAACCUCAUGACCUUCGAGUAAAAUUACAAGAGAAAGGUGCUGAUCUAGAUUUGAUCUCACUAAUGAUAGCUCCAUAGGACCCCUGGUUUCAUUUGGCAAUAUCACCAAUCAAUUGUUUGCAGUCAGAAGCAACAACGAAGCAUUGAAGGUGAAGAUCUUCCGCCAAAGCAAUUGCCUCGCGGCAUGCAAUAGCCUCAAGUGUAGCUGGUCCCAGAUUCCUUCAAGAAAAAACAAAAUUGUUGGGCCAUCUCAUUUGAUAUAUCGUCGCAAGACGAAUGAUCUGAAAAACGAAAUUCAUUUUUCUAAAAAAAUGAUUAUUCUGAAAAAAAAUAUGUGAAGAAACAAAACUAAUAUAUCACAAUAGUUUUUUUCACUUCUCAAAAAAAAACUUUGUCGCAAUUUUUUUCUAAGAUAACAAUGUUAUAAAAAAUCAUCUUUUUUUCAAUACAAUACAGAGGCAGACACUCAUACAUACUAACAUGCACUCACUCCUAUGAACCCGCACACAGGAUGGCAAUAGGUAGGGUAUGGGGCGGGUAGAGCAAUACCAUACCCAUACCCGUGUAGUCAAUGGGCACAAAAUUCUACCCAUACCCAUACCCACAGAUAUGAAACUUUACCUGUAUCCAUACCAGACGGGUACCCAUACCCAUUGGGUAUCCAACGGCUAGAUCACAGUACACAAGUAAUUCAUAAUUUUACGUUCAUUGAUAGCACAUUUGACCCCAAAAAAAUCUGAACUCAAUAACAAAUAGAUGAAUACAUGACAAUUAUCUCAAUUCAAAUUGACAAUUGGUGACAACUUUAACAAACGCUCACAAGCUCACGACACACCUCACGGGUAAAGUCCACAUGUCAUUAUAAACGAGUAGGGCAUGGGUAUAUCCAUGGGUACAAGGCUAUACCCGUAUCCUACCCAUGACUUUGAAGGAAAUAUGCCCUAGAGGCAAUAAUAAAGUUAUUAUUUAUUUCCUUAUAUCGUGAUAAAUGUUUAUUAUUCAUGCUAGAAUUGUAUUAACCGAAAACAUGAUAUAUGUGUGAAUACAUAGACAAACAGAGUGUCACUAGUAUGCCUCUACUUGACUAGCUCGUUGAUUAAAGAUGGUUAUGUUUCCUAGCCAUGGACAAAGAGUUGUCAUUUGAUUAACGGGGUCACAUCAUUAGGAGAAUGAAGUGAUUGACUUGACCCAUUCCGUUAGCUUAGCACUUGAUCGUUUAGUAUGUUGCUAUUGCUUUCUUCAUGACUUAGGUGGCCUUUAUUUGGGCUACAGCUUAUGAUUCUCAGAUUCUAGGGCCCUAAAAUCAGAAGCGCAAACAAACACGUCAGAUUCCCGUAUAGCUUCCUAGAAUCCGAUUCCAAAAAUGAACUACCAGCAAAGGGAAUCCGGAAGCAGCGAUUUUGAUGAUUCGGCCGAUUCUGCAGCUUCCCGCAAAACAAAACGGUUCGUUUUGUGCCCCGUAGGCCGGGUCAACGACGCCCAAACCCCCUCGUCUCGUCUCCCUCCCAUGGCGACCACCACGGCGGCAACCGCGACGGAGGAGGCGUGCCUGCUGUGGCUGGAGAGUCAGGCGGAGCCCGACGGCGGCGGCGCCUAGGAGUACCUCGCCUGCAGGCUCCGCGCGCGUGGCCCCGCCCCUCGGCCUCGCCCGCAGGCUCCGCUCGCGGCCCGCCCCCAUCUUCCGACCACCAAGCUCUGCCUCCGCCGCCACCUUCGCCUGCACCAUCGGCUCUAGGACGGGCGGAUAUGACGCCACCAACCCCGUCCCUCCCCGUAUUCCGGCCAAGGAUCCGCGUCUCCGCCACUGCCCACGAGCACCGCCAGCGACGCGCCGCCCCGAUCUCCGCGUACGCCAGCCCCGUUGGCACCAGGACGGGCGGAUCCGGCGCCUCCAUGUCUGCCCGCCCCAUACUCCGGCAACCCAACCCCACCUCCACCUCCGCUGCUCGAGCUCCGCCCCCAAUCUCUGCUCUAUUCUUGGCGUUGGGUAAACAAACAGUACAUUCGGGGCUGCAGCUGCUUCAGAUUUUAAGGGCAAACAAACAGGCUGCUUCAGAUUUCCAGAAUCUGCAGCUGCAGCUGAUUCUCAGAAUCCAAGCUGAAGCUGAUUUUCAAGAAUCCGUAGCCCAAACGAAGGGGGCCUUAUACAUGUUCCUAUGACUAUGAGAUUAUGCAACUCCCGUUUACCGGUGGAACACUUUGUGUGCUACCAAACGUCACAACAUAACUGGGUGAUUAUAAAGGUGCUCUACAGGUGUCUCCGAAGGUACUUGUUGGGUUGGCGUAUUUCGAGAUUAGGAUUUGUCACUCCGAUUGUCGGAGAGGUAUCUCUGGGCCCACUCGGUAAUGCACAUCACUUAAGCCUUGCAAGCAUUACAACUAAUGAGUUAGUUGCGGGAUGAUGUAUUACAGAACGAGUAAAGAGACUUGCCGGUAACGAGAUUGAGCUAGGUAUUGAGAUACCGACGAUCGAAUCUCGGGCAAGUAACAUGCCGAUGACAAAGGGAACAACGUAUGUAGUUAUGCGGUUUGACCGAUAAAGAUCUUCGUAGAAUAUGUGGGAGCCAAUAUGAGCAUCCAGGUUCCGCUAUUGGUUAUUGACCGGAUAUGUGUCUCGGUCAUGUCUACAUAGUUCUCGAACCCGUAGGGUCCGCACGCUUAAAGUUCGAUGACGGUUAUAUUAUGAGUUUAUGUGUUUUGAUGUACCGAAGGUAGUUCGGAGUCCCGGGUGUGAUCAUGGACAUGACGAGGAGUCUCGAAAUGGUCGAGACAUGAAGAUUGAUAUAUUGGACGACUAUAUUCGGACACCGGAAUGGUUCCGGGGGUUAUCGGAUAAUUACGGGAGUACCGGGGGGUUACCGGAACCCCCCGGAGGUUAUUGGGCCUCAUGGGCCCAAGUGGUGGAAGAGGAGAGGCGGCCAAGGGGCAGCCGCGCGCCCCUCCCCCCCCCCCCAAGUCCGAAUUGGACAAGGAGGGGGUGCGGCACCCCCCCUUUCCUUUCCCCCUCUCUCUCCUUCCCUCUCCUCUCCUACUCCAACAUGGAAGGGGGGAGUCCUACUCCUGAUGGGAGUAGGACUCCUCAUGGGGCGCGCCAAAGGGUGGCCGGCCCCCUCCCCCUCCUCCACUCCUUUAUAUACGGGGAGGGAGGCACCCCCUAGAGACACAACAAUUGAUCAUUGAUCUUUUAGCCGUGUGCGGUGCCCCCCUCCACCAUAGUCCACCUCGAUAAUAUUGUAGCGGUGCUUAGACGAAGCCCUGCGUCGGUAGAACAUCAUCAUCGUCACCACGCCGUCGUGCUGACGAAACUUUCCCUCAACACUCGGCUGGAUCGGAGUUCGAGGGACGUCAUCGGGCUGAACGUGUGCUGAACUCGGAGGUGCCAUGUGUUUGGUACUUGAUCGGUCGGAUCGUGAAGACGUAUGACUACAUCAACCGCGUUGUGCUAAAGCUUCCGCUUACGGUCUACGACGGUACGUAGACAACACUCUCCCCUCUCGUUGCUAUGCAUCACCAUCAUCUUUCGUGUGCAUAGGAUUUUUUUUUUAAAUUACUACGUUACCCAACAGUGGCAUCCGAGCCAGGUUUUACGCGUUGAUGUUAUAUGCACGAGUAGAACACAAGUGAGUUGUGGGCGAUACAAGUCAUACUGCUUACCAGCAUGUCACACUUUGGUUCGGCGGUAUUGUUGGAUGAAGCGGCCCAGACCGACAUUACGCGUACGCUUACGCGAGACUGGUUCUACCGACGUGCUUUGCACACAGGUGGCUGGCGGGUGUCAGUUUGUCCAACUUUAGUUGAACCGAGUGUGGCUACGCCCGGUCCUUGAGAAGGUUAAAACAACACUAACUUGACGAAUUAUCAUUGUGGUUUUGAUGCGUAGGUAAGAACGGUUCUUGCUCAGCCCGUAGCAACCACGUAAAAUUUGCAACAACAAAGUAGAGGACGUCUAACUUGUUUUCGCAGGGCAUGUUGUGAUGUGAUAUGGUCAAGGCAUGAUGCUAAAUUUUAUUGUAUGAGAUGAUCAUGUUUUGUAACUGAGUUAUCGGCAACUGGCAGGAGCCAUAUGGUUGUCGCUUUAUUGUAUGCAAUGCAAUCGCCCUGUAAUGCUUUACUUUAUCACUAAGCGGUAGCGAUAGUCGUAGAAGCAUAAGAUUGGCGAGACGACAACGAUGCUACGAUGGAGAUCAAGGUGUCGCGUCGGUGACAAUGGUGAUCAUGACGGUGCUUCGGAGAUGGAGAUCACAAGCACAAGAUGAUGAUGGCCAUAUCAUAUCACUUAUAUUGAUUGCAUGUGAUGUUUAUCUUUUAUGCAUCUUAUCUUGCUUUGAUUGACGGUAGUAUUAUAAGAUGAUCUCUCACUAAAUUUCAAGAUAAUAGUGUUCUCCCUGAGUAUGCACCGUUGCCAAAGUUCGUCGUGCCCAGACACCACGUGAUGAUCGGGUGUGAUAAGCUCUACGUCCAUCUACAACGGGUGCAAGCCAGUUUUGCACACGUAGAAUACUCAGGUUAAACUUGACGAGCCUAGCAUAUGCAGAUAUGGCCUCGGAACACUGAGACCGAAAGGUCGAGCGUGAAUCAUAUAGUAGAUAUGAUCAACAUAGUGAUGUUCACCAUUGAAAACUACUCCAUUUCACGUGAUGAUCGGUUAUGGUUUAGUUGAUUUGGAUCACGUGAUCACUUAGAUGAUUAGAGGGAUGUCUAUCUAAGUGGGAGUUCUUAAGUAAUAUGAUUAAAUUGAACUUAAAUUUAUCAUGAACUUAGUACCUGAUAGUAUUUUGCUUGUCUAUGUUGUUGUAGAUAGAUGGCCCGUGCCGUUGUUCCGUUGAAUUUUAAUGCGUUCCUUGAGAAAGCAAAGUUGAAAGAUGAUGGUAGCAAUUACACGGACUGGGUCCGUAACUUGAGGAUUAUCCUCAUUGCUGCACAGAAGAAUUACGUCCUGGAAGCACCGCUAGGGGCCAGACCUGCUGCAGGAGCAACACCAGAUGUUAUGAACGUCUGGCAGAGCAAAGCUGAUGACUACUCGAUAGUUCAGUGUGCCAUGCUUUACGGCUUAGAACCGGGACUUCAACGACGUUUUGAACGUCAUGGAGCAUAUGAGAUGUUCCAGGAGUUGAAGUUAAUAUUUCAAGCAAAUGCCCGGAUUGAGAGAUAUGAAGUCUCCAAUAAGUUCUACAGCUGCAAGAUGGAGGAGAAUAGUUCUGUCAGUGAGCAUAUACUCAGAAUGUCUGGGUAUAAAAAUCACUUGAUUCAACUGGGAGUUAAUCUUCCGGAUGAUAGCGUCAUUGACAGAAUUCUUCAAUCACUGCCACCAAGCUACAAGAGCUUCGUGAUGAACUAUAACAUGCAAGGGAUGGAUAAGACGAUUCCCGAGCUCUUCGCAAUGCUAAAGGCUGCGGAGGUAGAAAUCAAGAAGGAGCAUCAAGUGUUGAUGGUCAAUAAGACCACCAGUUUCAAGAAAAAGGGCAAAGGGAAAAAGAAGGGGAACUUCAAGAAGAACAGCAAACAAGUUGAUGCUCAAGAGAAGAAACCCAAGUCUGGACCUAAGCCUGAGACUGAGUGCUUCUACUGCAAGCAGACUGGUCACUGGAAGCGGAACUGCCCCAAGUAUUUGGCGGAUAAGAAGGAUGGCAAGGUGAACAAAGGUAUAUGUGAUAUACAUGUUAUUGAUGUGUACCUUACCAGAUCUCGCAGUAGCACCUGGGUAUUUGAUACUGGUUCUGUUGCUAAUAUUUGCAACUCGAAACAGGGACUACGGAUUAAGCGGACACUGGCUAAGGACGAUGUGACGAUGCGCGUGGGAAACGGUUCCAAAGUCGAUGUGAUCGCCGUAGGCACGCUACCUCUACAUCUGCCUUCGGGAUUAGUAUUAGACCUAAAUAAUUGUUAUUUGGUGCCAGCGUUGAGCAUGAACAUUAUAUCUGGAUCUUGUUUGAUGCGAGACGGUUAUUCAUUUAAAUCAGAGAAUAAUGGUUGUUCUAUUUAUAUGAGUAAUAUAUUUUAUGGUCAUGCACCCUUGAAGAGUGGUCUAUUUUUGAUGAAUCUCGAUAGUAGUGAUACACAUAUUCAUAAUGUUGAAGCCAAAAGAUGCAGAGUUGAUAAUGAUAGUGCAACUUAUUUGUGGCACUGUCGUUUGGGUCAUAUUGGUGUAAAGCGCAUGAAGAAACUCCAUACUGAUGGACUUUUAGAAUCACUUGAUUAUGAAUCACUUGGUACUUGCGAACCAUGCCUCAUGGGCAAGAUGACUAAAACGCCGUUCUCCGGAACUAUGGAGCAAGCAACUGAUUUAUUGGAAAUCAUACAUACUGAUGUAUGUGGUCCAAUGAAUGUUGAAGCUCGCGGCGGGUAUCGUUAUUUUCUCACCUUCACAGAUGAUUUAAGCAGAUAUGGGUAUAUCUACUUAAUGAAACAUAAGUCUGAAACUUUUGAAAAGUUCAAAGAAUUUCAGAGUGAAGUUGAAAAUCAUCGUAACAAGAAAAUAAAGUUUCUGCGAUCUGAUCGUGGAGGAGAAUAUUUGAGUUACGAGUUUGGUCUACAUUUGAAACAAUGCGGAAUAGUUUCGCAACUCACGCCACCCGGAACACCACAGCGUAAUGGUGUGUCCGAACGUCGUAAUCGUACUUUACUAGAUAUGGUGCGAUCUAUGAUGUCUCUUACUGAUUUACCGCUAUCGUUUUGGGGUUAUGCUUUAGAGACGGCCGCAUUCACGUUAAAUAGGGCACCAUCAAAAUCCGUUGAGACGACGCCAUAUGAACUAUGGUUUGGCAAGAAACCAAAGUUGUUGUUUCUUAAAGUUUGGGGCUGCGAUGCUUAUGUGAAAAAGAUUCAACCUAAUAAGCUCGAACCCAAAUCAGAGAAAUGUGUCUUCAUAGGAUACCCAAAGGAAACUGUUGGGUACACCUUCUAUCACAGAUCCGAAGGCAAGAUAUUCGUUGCUAAGAAUGGAUCCUUUAUAGAGAAGGAGUUUAUCUCGAAAGAAGUGAGUGGGAGGAAAGUAGAACUUGAUGAGGUAACAAUACCUGCUCCCUUAUUGGAAAGUGGUUCAUCACAGAAAUCGGUUUCUACAACACCUACACCAAUUAGUGAGGAAGUUAAUGAUGAUGAUCAUGAAACUUCAAAUCAAGUUGUUACUGAACCUCGUAGGUCAACCAGAAUAAGAUCCGCACCCGAGUGGUACGGUAAUACUGUUCUGGAGGUUAUGUUACUAGACCAUGAUGAACCUACGAACUAUGAAGAAGCGAUGGUGAGCCCAGAUUCCGCAAAAUGUCUUGAGGCCAUGAAAUCUGAGAUGGGAUCCAUGUAUGAGAACAAAGUAUGGACUUUGGUUGACUUGCCCAAUGAUCGGCAAGCCAUCGAGAAUAAAUGGAUCUUCAAGAAGAAGACUGACGCUGACGGUAAUGUUACUGCCUAUAAAGCUUGACUUGUUGCAAAAGGUUUUCGACAAGUUCAAGGGAUUGACUACGAUGAGACCUUCUCACCCGUAGCGAUGCUUAAGUCUGUCCGAAUCAUGUUAGCAAUUGCCGCAUUUUAUGAUUAUGAAAUUUGGCAAAUGGAUGUAAAAACUGCAUUCCUGAAUGGAUUUCUGGAAGAAGAGUUGUAUAUGAUGCAACCGGAAGGUUUUGUCGAUCCAAAGGGAGCUAACAAAGUGUGCAAGCUCCAGCGAUCCAUUUAUGGACUGAUGCAAGCCUCUCGGAGUUGGAAUAAACAUUUUGAUAGUGUGAUCAAAGCAUAUGGUUUUAUACAUACUUUUGGAGAAGCCUGUAUUUACAAGAAAGUGAGUGGGAGCUCUGUAGCAUUUCUGAUAUUAUAUGUGGAUGACAUAUUGUUGAUCGGAAAUGAUAUAGAAUUUCUGGAUAGCAUAAAGGGAUAUUUGAAUAAGAGUUUUUCAAUGAAGGACCUCGGUGAAGCUGCUUAUAUAUUGGGCAUCAAGAUCUAUAUAGAUAGAUCAAGACGCUUAAUUGGACUUUCACAAAGCACAUACCUUGACAAAGUUUUGAAGAAGUUCAAAAUGGAUCAAGCAAAGAAAGGGUCCUUGCCUGUGUUACAAGGUGUGAAGUUGAGUAAGACUCAAUGCCCGACCACUGCAGAAGAUAGAGAGAAAAUGAAAGAUGUUCCCUAUGCUUCAGCCAUAGGCUCUAUCAUGUAUGCAAUGCUGUGUACCAGACCUGAUGUGUGCCUUUCUAUAAGUUUAGCAGGGAGGUACCAAAGUAAUCCAGGAGUGGAUCACUGGACAACGGUCAGGAACAUCCUGAAAUACUUGAGAAGGACUAAGGAUAUGUUUCUCGUUUAUGGAGGUGACAAAGAGCUCGUCAUAAAUGGUUACGUUGAUGCAAGCUUUGACACUGAUCUGGACGAUUCUAAAUCGCAAACCGGAUACGUGUUUAUAUUGAACGGUGGAGCUAUCAGUUGGUGCAGUUCUAAACAAAGCGUCGUAGCGGGAUCUACAUGUGAAGCGGAGUACAUAGCUGCUUCGGAAGCAGCAAAUGAAGGAGUUCAUAUCCGAUCUAGGUGUCAUACCUAGUGCAUCGGGUCCAAUGAAAAUCUUUUGUGACAAUACUGGUGCAAUUGCUGUGGCAAAGGAAUCCAGAUUUCACAAGAGAACCAAGCACAUCAAGAGACGCUUCAACUCCAUCCGAGAUCAAGUCCAGGUGGAAGACAUAGAGAUUUGCAAGAUACAUACGGAUCUGAAUGUUGCAGACCCGUUGACUAAGCCUCUUCCACGAGCAAAACAUGAUCAGCACCAAGGCUCCAUGGGUGUUAGAAUCAUUACUUUGUAAUCUAGAUUAUUGACUCUAGUGCAAGUGGGAGACUGAAGGAAAUAUGCCCUAGAGGCAAUAAUAAAGUUAUUAUUUAUGUCCUUAUAUCGUGAUAAAUGUUUAUUAUUCAUGCUAGAAUUGUAUUAACCGGAAACAUAAUACUUGUGUGAAUACAUAGACAAACAGAGUGUCACUAGUAUGCCUCUACUUGACUAGCUCGUUGAUCGAAGAUGGUUAUGUUUCCUAGCCAUUGACAUGAGUUGUCAUUUGAUUAACGAGAUCACAUCAUUAGGAGAAUGAUGUGAUUGACUUGACCCAUUCCGUUAGCUUAGCACUCGAUCGUUUAGUAUGUUGCUAUUGCUUUCUUCAUGACUUAUACAUGUUCCUGUGACGCCCGGAUAAUUAGGCUACAGUGAACCUCUGCUAAUGAUGCCACGUCACCUCGAUUACUGUUGCUAAUCUGGGCUAGUUCGAAAAUAAUUCAAAUUCAAAUUUGAGUUAAAGUCAAAAGGUAAAAGUUUUCAAACAUAAAAACUAAAAUGUUCGGUUUGUGGCGAAUAAUCAAUGCUAAAUGUUGGUGGAGAAACCCCACUUUUAUAAAGUGUUUAAAACUCUAAAAUGAACAAAACAGUAACAAAACCAAUUAUUUAAAAGCUUUUAAAAUAUUAAACAAUUACAAACUAUUUUAUUUUAGGUGCCAAGUUAAUUGUGGUGGUGGCAUAUUUGUUAAUACUAAUUUAGGUACGGCUAAUGUAUUUUUAUAAAACUAAGGUAUUUAAAAUAUAGAAUUAAAACAAAAAAAGGAAUAAAUGAAAAACAAAACAAAUAAAGAAAAGAAGCCUACCCCCCACUGGGCCUCCUGGCCCAGCCGGGCAGGCCGACCCAGCCAGGUCCCCACUACUUAGCCCCAUCCCGGGCCAACCCUAACCCUAUCCCNNNNNNNNNNNNNNNNNNNNNNNNNNNNNNNNNNNNNNNNNNNNNNNNNNNNNNNNNNNNNNNNNNNNNNNNNNNNNNNNNNNNNNNNNNNNNNNNNNNNNNNNNNNNNNNNNNNNNNNNNNNNNNNNNNNNNNNNNNNNNNNNNNNNNNNNNNNNNNNNNNNNNNNNNNNNNNNNNNNNNNNNNNNNNNNNNNNNNNNNNNNNNNNNNNNNNNNNNNNNNNNNNNNNNNNNNNNNNNNNNNNNNNNNNNNNNNNNNNNNNNNNNNNNNNNNNNNNNNNNNNNNNNNNNNNNNNNNNNNNNNNNNNNNNNNNNNNNNNNNNNNNNNNNNNNNNNNNNNNNNNNNNNNNNNNNNNNNNNNNNNNNNNNNNNNNNNNNNNNNNNNNNNNNNNNNNNNNNNNNNNNNNNNNNNNNNNNNNNNNNNNNNNNNNNNNNNNNNNNNNNNNNNNNNNNNNNNNNNNNNNNNNNNNNNNNNNNNNNNNNNNNNNNNNNNNNNNNNNNNNNNNNNNNNNNNNNNNNNNNNNNNNNNNNNNNNNNNNNNNNNNNNNNNNNNNNNNNNNNNNNNNNNNNNNNNNNNNNNNNNNNNNNNNNNNNNNNNNNNNNNNNNNNNNNNNNNNNNNNNNNNNNNNNNNNNNNNNNNNNNNNNNNNNNNNNNNNNNNNNNNNNNNNNNNNNNNNNNNNNNNNNNNNNNNNNNNNNNNNNNNNNNNNNNNNNNNNNNNNNNNNNNNNNNNNNNNNNNNNNNNNNNNNNNNNNNNNNNNNNNNNNNNNNNNNNNNNNNNNNNNNNNNNNNNNNNNNNNNNNNNNNNNNNNNNNNNNNNNNNNNNNNNNNNNNNNNNNNNNNNNNNNNNNNNNNNNNNNNNNNNNNNNNNNNNNNNNNNNNNNNNNNNNNNNNNNNNNNNNNNNNNNNNNNNNNNNNNNCUAUGACAAACGGGGCCCACUGCCCAGAACAUUUUUUAUAAAAAAAAUUAAAUUAAAAAAUUUUAAAAUUUUUUAAAAAGUAAUUAAAAAAUAUAAUAAAAAUAAUAAAAAUAUUAAUUAAUUAAAGAAUUAAUUAACUUAAUUAAUCAUAAUUAGAAUAACCUAAUCACUACUUAACUUAAUUAAACCCUGUUUAGCCUAAUCUGUCAAUGACACGGGGGCCCCACCCCCUGUUGACCAGUCAAACAUUGACUGGUCAACCGGGUCCCCCUGGCCCACAUGUCAGCCCGUGUGUAAACUGCUGUGUACACAGGGCUGGGUACAUUUAGCAAUUUCUCUUUUAUUUUCAAAUUAAAAUAAAUCCUGGAAAUUUAGAAAAUCAUUUAAACUUAUAAAAAUCAUAUAAAAUAAUCCGUAACUCGGAUGAAAAUACUUUAUACAUGAAAGUUGCUCAGAACGACGAGACGAAUCCGAAUACGCAACCUGUUCGCCAGCCACGCGUCCCUAGCAUAGCGAACCUGCAACAUUUCACCUCCGGUUCAUCUGUCCGAAAACGCGAAACACCGGGGAUACUUUCCCGGAUGUUUCCCCCCUUUGUCGGUAUCACCUCCUACCGCGUUAGGGCACACCUAGCACCGCGUAUUGCCAUGUUACGCUUUGUGAUGCUUUGAUUGCUCUGUUAUUUAUUGUGUUCCCCCUUCGUUACUUCUUUCUGGUAGACCCCGAGACUGUCGGCGAACCCCAGUUCGACUACGGUGUUGACGACCACUCCUUGCCAGAGCAACCAGGCAAGCCCCCCCCCUUGAUCACCAGAUAUCGCCUAUUCCUUCUCUAUACUGCUUGCAUUAGAGUAGUGUAGCAUGUUACUGCUUUCGGUUAAUCCUAUACUGAUGCAUAGCCUGUCAUUGUUGCUACAGUUGUUACCCUUACCUGCUAUCCUACCUGCUUAGUAUAGGAUGCUAGUGUUCCAUCAGUGGCCCUACACUCUUGUCCGUCUGCCAUGCUAUACUACUGGGCCGUGAUCACUUCGGGAGGUGAUCACGGUUAUAUACUAUAUACUUUAUAUACAUGACACAUGUGGUGACUAAAGUCGGGUCGGCUCGAGGAGUACCCGCAAGUGAUUCUGAUGAGGGGGCUGAAAGGACAGGUGGCUCCAUCCCGGUAGAGGUGGGCCUGGGUUCCUGACGGCCCCCGACUGUUACUUUGUGGCUGAGCGACAGGGCAGGUUGGGACCACCUAGGAGAGAGGUGGGCCUGGCCCUGGUCGGCGUUCGCGGAUACUUAACACGCUUAACGAGAUCUUGGUAUUUGAUCUGAGUCUGGCCAUUUGGUCUAUACACACUAACCAGCUACGCGGGAACAGUUAUGGGCACUCGACGUCGUGGUAUCAGCCGAAGCUCUUCUUGACGUCAGCGACGGAGCGGCGCGCGCCGGAUUGGACUGGAACGCCUGCUAGGCUAGGUCUGCUUCCGGCCGCCCUCGCAACGUGCAGGUGUGCAAUGGGCGAUGGGCCCAGACCCCUGUGCGCAUAGGAUUUAGACCGGCGUGUUGACCUCUCUGUUGAGCCUAGGUGGGGCUGCGACGUGUUGAUCUUCCGAGGCCGGGCAUGACCCAGAAAAGUGUGUCCGGCCAAAUGGGAUCGGGCGUGUUGGGUUAUGUGGUGCACCCCUGCAGGGAAGUUUAUGUAUUCGAAUAGCCGUGUCCCUCGGUAAAAGGACGACCCGAAGUUGUACCUUGACCUUAUGACAACUAGAACCGGAUACUUAAUAAAACACACCCUUCCAAGUGCCAGAUACAACCCGGUGUUCGCUCUCUAACAGGGCGACGAGGAGGGGAUUGCCGGGUUAGGAUUAUGCUAUGCGAUGCUACUUGGAGGACUUCAAUCUACUCUCUUCUACAUGCUGCAAGAUGGAGAUGGCCAGAAGCGUAGUCUUCGACAGGACUAGCUAUCCCCCUCUUAUUCUGGCAUUCUGCAGUUCAGUCCACUGAUACGCCCCUUUACACAUAUACCCAUGCAUAUGUAGUGUAGCUCCUUGCUUGCGAGUACUUUGGAUGAGUACUCACGGUUGCUUUCCUUCCUCUUUUCCCCCUUUCCUUUCUAUCUGGUUGUCGCAACCAGAUGCUGGAGCCCAGGAGCCAGACGCCACCGUCGACGACGACUCCUACUACACUGGAGGUGCCUGCUACUACGUGCAGGCCGCUGACGACGACCAGGAGUUAGUUAGGAGGAUCCCAGGCAGGAGGCCUACGCCUCGUUCGAUCUGUAUCCCAAUUUGUGCUAGCCUUCUUAAGGCAAUCUUGUUUAACUUACGUUUGUACUCAGAUAUUGUUGCUUCCGCUGACUCGUCUAUGAUCGAGCACUUGUAUUCGAGCCCUCGAGGCCCCUGGCUUGUAUUAUGAUGCUUGUAUGACUUAUUUAUGUUGUAGAGUUGUGUUGUGAUAUCUUCCCGUGAGUCCCUGAUCUUGAUCGUACACAUUUGCGUGCAUGAUUAGUGUACGGUCAAAUCGGGGGCGUCACAGUUCCUAUGACUAUGAGAUUAUGCAACUCCCGUUUACCGAAGGAACACUUUGUGUGCUAUUAAGCGUCACAACGUAACUGGGUGAUUAUAAAGGUGCUCUACAGGUGUCUCUGAAGGUACUUGUUGGGUUGGCAUAUUUCGAGAUUAGGAUUUGUCACUCCGAUUGUCGGAGAGGUAUCUCUGGGCCCACUCGGUAAUGCACAUCACUUAAGCCUUGCAAGCAUUGCAACUAAUGAGUUAGUUGCGGGAUGUUGUAUUAUGGAACGAGUAAAGAGACUUGCCGGUAACGAGAUUGAACUAGGUAUUGAGAUACCGACGAUCGAAUCUCGGUCAAGUAACAUACCGAUGACAAAGGGAACAACGUAUGUUGUUAUGCGGUCUGACCGAUAAAGAUCUUCGUAGAAUAUGUGGGAGCCAAUAUGAGCAUCCAGGUUCCGCUAUUGGUUAUUAACCGAAGACAUGUCUUGGUCAUGUCUACAUAGUUCUCGAACCCGUAGGGUCCGCACGCUUAAAGUUUCGAUGACGGUUAUAUUAUGAGUUUAUAUGUUUUGAUGUAUCGAAGGUUGUUCGGAGUCCUGGAUGUGAUAACAGACAUGACGAGGAGUCUCGAAAUGGUCGAGACAUGAAGAUUGAUAUAUUGGAAGCCUAUAUUUGGAUAUCGGAAGUGUUCCGGGUGAAAUCAGGAUUUUACUGGUGUACCGGGGGUUACGGGAACCCCCCGGGGGUUUAAUGGGCCAUAGUGGGCCUUAGUGGAGAAGAGGAGAGGCGGCUAGGGCAGGGCCGCGUGCCCCUCCCCCUCUAGUCCGAAUAGGACAAGGAGAGGGGGGCGGCGCCCCCCUUUCCUUCCUCUCUCCCUCCUCUUUCCCCCUUCUCCUAAUCCGACAAGGAAGGGAGGGAGUCCUACUCCCGAUGGGAGUAGGACUCCUCCUGGCGCGCCUCCUCCUGGCCGGCCGCACCUCCCCCCUUUGCUCCUUUAUAUACGGGGGCAGGGGGCACCCCAAAGACACAACAAUUGAUUUGAUCUUUUAGCCGUGUGCGGUGCCCCCCUCCACCAUAGUCCACCUCGAUAAUACUGUAGCGGUGCUUAGGUGAAGCCCUGCGUCGGUAGAACAUCAUCAUCGUCACCACGCCGUCGUGCUGACGAAACUCUCCCUCAACACUCGGCUGGAUCGGAGUUCGAGGGACGUCAUCGGUCUGAACGUGUGCUGAACUCGCGGGUGCCGUGCGUUCGGUACUUGAUCGGUCGGAUCGUGAAGACGUACGACUACAUCAACCGCGUUGUGCUAACGCUUCCGCUUUCGGUCUACGAGGGUACGUGGACAACACUCUCCCCUCUCGUUGCUAUGCAUCACCAUGAUCUUGCGUGUGCGGAGGAUUUUUUUUGAAAUUACUACGUUCCCCAACAAUUCGGACACCGGAAUGGUUCCGGGGGUUAUCGGAUAAAUACCGGAGUACCGGGGUUACCGGACCCCCCCCCCCUGGAGGUUAUUGGGCCUCAUGGGCCCAAGUGGUGGAAGAGGAGAGGCGGCCAAGGGGCAGCCGCGCGCCCCUCCCCCCCAAGUCCGAAUUGGACAAGGAGGGGGGCGGCACCCCCCCUUUCCUUUCCCCCCCUCUCUCCUUCCCUCUCCUCUCCUACUCCAACAUGGAAGGGGGGGAGUCCUACUCCCGGUGGGAGUAGGACUCCUCAUGGGGCGCGCCAAGGGUGGCCGGGCCCCUCCCCCUCCUCCACUCCUUUAUAUACGGGGAGGGAGGCACCCCCUAGAGACACAACAAUUGAUCAUUGUUCUUUUAGCCGUGUGCGGUGCCCCCCUCCACCAUAGUCCACCUCGAUAAUAUCGUAGCGGUGCUUAGGCGAAGCCCUGCGUCGGUAGAACAUCAUCAUCGUCAUCACGCCGUCGUGCUGACGAAACUCUCCCUCAACACUCGGCUGGAUCGGAGUUCGAGGGACGUCAUCGGGCUGAACGUGUGCUGAACUCGGAGGUGCCGUGCGUUUGGUACUUGAUCGGUUGGAUCGUGAAGACGUAUGACUACAUCAACCGCGUUGUGCUAACGCUUCCGCUUACGGUCUACGAGGGUACGUAGACAACACUCUCCCCUCUUGUUGCUAUGCAUCACCAUGAUCUUUCGUGUGCGUAGGAUUUCUUUUAAAAUUACUACGUUACCCAACAGACUUAACAGGUAGGCUACGGAUACUACCAAUGGGUGUAAAAUUGUACCCAUACUCUACCCAUGCGGGUACGGUAUCCGCGGGUACCCGUACCCGUGGGUAAAAUUACCAUCCUUACGCACACAUACCAUACCACUAUGAGCUCUGUUUAUUUUCUUUUAGAAAAAUCAUCUAGAAAGCAUUAAGUUCAUGGUUUGCAUCUUUUUUCUUGCCUCCCUUUGAGUAUAAAUUUCUUGGUAAAAAACCUUCGCCCACCCCCACCUCCUUUAUCACUGAGCGGUCAUUUAGGGGCCUUAGCUGGUGAUCCGGGCUGUUUCCCUCUCGACGAUGAAGCUUAUCCCCCAUCGUCUCACUGGCCGACCUUGACCCCUGUUAUUUUUGGAUGGGGGAAUCCAAUUGACAGCCUCGAUUCGUAUCCUAGCUCGUCUGAGAGCGAGCUUCGCUUCAACCAAAUCUUUCGUACCCUCAGCUUUACUCAAGUUAGCUGAUAGCGAUAGCACCGAAUUUUGCCAAUUCGGAAACCCGAUACCUACUACCUUAGAAGAAAGAAUUCCGGAAGAAAUGAAGAAGAGCUGCAAGGUCGGCCAGUGAGACGAUGGGGGAUAAGCUUCAUCGUCGAGAGGGAAACAGCCCGGAUCACCAGCUAAGGCCUGCCCAGUGCCGGAAGGUCAAGGAAGUUGGUGAACUGAUGACAGGGAAGCCGGGGGUUAUAGUCGACGUUGGUUGAUUAUUUUUAACGUCUCUAAUUCAAAACCGAACAUGAAAUUUUGAUUUCAUUCGGCUCCUUUUUACGCGGUAGGGAUUGCAAUUUUUUCUCGCAUUUUCGUUUUUUCACUCAAACUCAAGGGAGAAACUUUGCUUCUUAUCUUUUUUUUUUAAGAUUGACGAAUCAUACACCAACUAGCUAAUCAGACGCGAGCCCCUCCUUGGGCGGAUUUCUCCUUUUGCUCCUCGGGGAUGUCAAAAGGAAAGGGAUGGAGUUUUUCUCACUUUUGGCGUAGCAGGCCUCCCUUUGGGAAAGGGAAGAAUCCUGAUAUCUCGGGUUUGACUAGUAGAUAGGUUAGGGAUUUUAAUUCUCAUAAGGGCGCUUUUUAUUCGAGUCAGUCUUCCGCACACUGAUUCUCCUCAAACUCGCCUGUCGGGGUGGAUUAGAUGAAGCUCUAGUGUAGACUGCUGACAGCUCUUCGGAUCUACAAGUUAGGGUUCUUGUCGUGCAUACACGAUAAUGAGAUUUGGUGCCAGAUUCUUCAGACUGAUUCAAAGUAGCGAUCUAAACAUUUUUAUAUUAGUUUACAGAGGGAGUACUAGCUAAAUAUCCAUGGAGAAGGUCCUAUUUCUUUUCUUCUGGUGUAGUUUGGCGAAACCUGCUUCUUUUCUCAAGAAGAGGCGACAGAUACUCGGACCAUAAUCAGCGACUUCAUAGUUUAAGCCAAUCACCAUCAGAUCAUAAUCAGUGUCUAAUGUACAUAAUUCAAGUAAAUCAGUAUCGGAACAUAAUCAGUGACUAGUACAUGAUUUCACAAACAACACUGAUUUAUCAAGAAAUGUAAGCGACGUAGAAUGUUAUUAAAAAAACUAGCGCCGUUGCCGGGGAUCGAACCCGGGUCACCCGCGUGACAGGCGGGAAUACUUACCACUAUACUACAACGACUGGAUUGAUGUGUUAAUCAGGUAAGCUCUAUUAAUCUACUACGAAAUUGGACAGAGGGAGUAACUGAGAACUGAAAUUGAUACUGCACCAGUCGCUGGCUGAAGCAGUCAGCUCUGUCUCCGGACUUCCGGAGCACACGUAAAGCUGUUGCUCACAUCUUUGAUCCGAUGAAAGCUAUUGCUUGAUCCGACCGAUGCUCACGAGAUGCCUCUCAGCAUAGCCACACACACGCCUUUGGCCAUGUACGCAUGCACAUGUGAAGUAGGAAUACCCAUUGAUAACCAAAUUCAGCAUGCAAAGUUGCAAACACACUCACCGAGUCUUGGAUUCUUUCCAACAUUGCCGAGCGCGUGCGUGCGCGUGUUCCAUUAUACAUUUGUCUACCUUGCGCAACGUACGUACGGGGGGCAUCAUGUACUCCGAUCGUCGGAGAUAUCACCGGCGCCACCUGGUCUUACACGGAUGAUUGGGAAAGGCGGUGGGCCGGCGACCGCGGGAGGCUGGUGGAGGGCGUGGCGGCGGGAAAGGGCGGCCACGGCCGCGGCCGCUGGGGGUUACGACGGGCAGGUCAGUGCGGCGGGCACGUCGCCAGCGAGGUUCACGAACCAGCGGGAAGUCCCAGAGCGGAGGCGGCGGAGGAGCCGGAGAGGCCGGCAGCAGAGACAAUGGCCCUGCACCAGCCGUGCAGCAUCGGCAGAUCCUUGCUUCUUCCAGAAGCGACGAACGACUAGCGGCGCUCCUCCAUCUCGCAACCAUGCGAUCAAUGCAGCUCGAGUCGUGGCGGCUUCCGCCGUCGACGUGGACCUCUUCGAGAACCAUGGCAUUCUGGGCCAAGAACUUGACGAGCCGGACUUGGAAGCAGGAGAGCGCGUCCACGUCGACCUGCACGACCACUCUCCUCAAGGAGUUCCGUAAGCAAUCCAGCGCACUGCAGCUGCAGUUCAGUCCGGGGACGUCGAGGAGCUCACGGUCGCAGCAAUCACAGUCGUCGUCGUCGUGUUCAUCGUCGCCUUUCAAGGAUGAUUGUUUACACGCCGUGAAAUCCACCAUGGUGGCCGUAUCAUCUGCUGCUUCGUUGAGAUACUUCCGCCAGCUGAAUUUUAGCCUGAGCUCGCGGAUCGCCGGGCAGCAACAUAGCAGGUUCAGCACUGCGUAGGCCGCAGCGCCGUGGCUGCCGAGACACCACCCGCACAGCUCUUCUAUUUCGAGGUGCUCCAGGUUGGGGAACAUUGGCAAGUGGGCGCCGUCGAUGUCGGCGAUGGAGUAAACCGUCAGCUUGAGGGACCUAGCGUGGCACGCGCCGCCGCCAAAGUGGACCGAGCGCAGGGACGCCGCAGAGCGCACCUCCAGGUUGACACGUUCCAGGCCGGGCGAGGGAGACUUGAAGGAGACGGAGGCGUCGAACGGCACGAUCUGGGUGUAGCGGAAGCGGCGCAGGCACGGUGCGUCGACCUCGAGGCUGCACGCGUCAGUGUCACGGGUGGCCAUGUUGGUGACGGCGACCACGCUGGCCGCCGGGCAGCGUAGACGGAGCCACCGGGUUGCGGGUGAACCCGAAGGCGACGGAUCGAGGAAUCUCAGCGACUCGAGCCGCAGGUCAGCGAGCUUCGGCGCGGCGUGGAUCAUGUCCUGGAGCGUGCAGAGCUUCAUGAUGCACAGCCGCAGCCGCAGCGCCUCCAGACAUGGGAACGCGACGCCCCGAGGUGGAUCCAAUCUGGACGAGGGGUCGAGGGGCACGAGCAUGCAGCCCCUGAGAUCGAGGACUCGCAGUGCCACGAACGGCAGCGAGUCCGGCGGCAGCGAGCACAGCUCCAGGAACAAGGCACACGACGUGAAUGGCGGCCAGGCGCCGUCUUUGCAGUCGAGGCGGAGCUCCUCCACGCGCUCAUCGCCGCCGCAGGCCCAGCGCACGAUCUCUUCGUCCAUGGGCUCAUCCCGCAUAACGACGGCGAUCUUCUUGGGAACGCGCCCGCGGGAGCGGUGGCGGGCGAGCGCGUGGCUGGGGUCCUCCACCGCUCGGCACUGGAGAGGAAUCAGUAAGCCGCCGCCGGUCGUGUAGGAGCGGUAGUCGAGGUUGAUGGCGCCCGUUUCGAGCCACAGUGGUCGGCGCCAUCUGCGCGAGAGGGCGGUGGCGCGGGCGGCCUCCCUGGCUGGGGCGAAGGAGAGGAUGUGGCGGAGCAAGUCGUCGGAGAGAACCGACAGGCGGUCCGACGCCGCGGCGGCCAUCUAAGAAGAUAUGUUUUUGAUUAUGGGUUUGUCUGGCACACAUCUAAAUAUGACAUAGUUAUGUUACAUCUAUAUUGAUGUCCACUUUGUUUGGGUCUAUUUUUUUUUCUAGUUUUUUUCUUAUUGCUACAUUAUAUACUUAUGGGAGCUUAGAUGUGACAUCUUUAAAAAACAUCUAGAUCUAAAUUAGACAAAUUGUUUGUUUAUUAUUUUUCUGUACAAGAAGAUCAAAUUUAGUUAGGGCUCUCUGGACGCAGCAUUCUUUUCUCAACAAGAUGAUUCGGUCGUUAUGACGAAAGAUCUCACAGAGAGAUUCUUUUUGUAAUACAGAUCAGACCGUCAGAUAAAAAAAAGGGUAAACAUACAUUUUGAGUAAAAAAAAAUUACAGAACUCCUCGAAUAUUAUUUGACCCCCAACUUUGGAAAGGACUUCUAACAUUUGUUCAUAGUCAUUUCCAUAAAGUUUCAGAUUUUCUUUUGAAAUGGUUUGCUAUGUUUUCUUAGAUGUAACGUGAAUGCGGGGUGUGGAAAACUACUCUCUUUUUUGAACAAAAAAAUUUGACACCCUCAUGUACUUCAGAUCUCGAUUGAAUGCAUGAAAAUUAAUCACUGAACCGUGGCAAAUUUCCUGUCAAAUUUCUACACUACUUCUACAUGGCAUUUUUUUUACUUUAGAACAUGCCAAAUCCUAUACACAAACAUGCCAAUUUUAUUCAUUUUCACAUGGCAAAUGUGCUCGUCAGAUUUUUUUGCAGACGUCGGCUUUUUUUUACAAAGUUUCCAUAGGUUAAUCAAAUAGUAGCAGUUUUCACAAACGCCUUUGGAAACAACUCAUGUGAGAGCUCCUCCCGAGAACCUAACCGUCACCACCACCUCCGCCUCCACCAUAGCUCGGUUCCCCCUCCUCCGGCCAGCCUCGCCGGCGACGAGAGGAGUGGGGAACCCGAUCUAUGAGUGGAGUUUUUUUUUAAUUAAAGUAGUGUUUUCAUUAGAUUGGGUUAGGGUUUGGUAGCCGUCUUCUUCUUCAUUGGAGAUGGCAUGGUCUACAAUAAGUAAUCUUUGACCCUUCAUUCGAUGUAGAGAUCUCCUUCCUGACGUCAAUGGUGGUGUUGAAAGAUUUAAUUUGUCUAGGUAUGGUCCUUCGGAUCUUGCUUCGCCAGAUCGAUUUUGGAUUAUUUUUCAUGGUUGUUGCGUGGAGGAUUGUCCUCACAAUAUCUAUCUUGGCUGUUAUGUCCUCUACAAUGGUGAUUCAUACUCUCGGCUCCCAACGAUGUUGAUCUGGCCGUUCGGUUAUUUUUUCCUGGAAUACCAGUGUUGAUACUCUUGCCAAUGUUGGUUGAUUACUUUAAUGGCCGUAUGCGGCUCAAAUUAAAAUUAUAGGAGAACUUUAGUUGGUAUUUACAAGUCUGUGGUUUGAUAUCUCCGUUAUUUUCCUACUUCUGCCUUUACAAGAGUAUAGGAUUGUGUCAUAGAAGAAGAAAGAGUUUGAAGAUCUCAAAGAUUUAUUCGUCCCUUUUAGACUUUAUUUUGUAAUCGUUGUAGUAUGCUCUUGUAUCUCUACCAUGCAUUAUUUACUUCUACAAAUAUAUCAUGGUAUUGGUUGUAUAAAAAAACUAGUAGCACUUUUCCCUAUCCUUUUUGUUUUGGCAAACAUCAGUACCAGAAUGAUCACGAAAAGAUAUUCAAAUAGGAGCAAGCAACACCAAACUUAUGAACUAAAUAAUUGAACAUGUCACGAUUAAAUGCAAUAGAAUUAAAAACUCAGCUGAUGUGCACUAAUGAGUAGCAGCUAACCAGAUCUAGCCAAACUCUUAAACGUUUAGAGGAGUAAAUUUUUGAAGGAGUUAUCCUCCAAAGGCAACUCAAUUCUAUCAAAUAUACUCGACCGACGCCACAUCUCUGGAUAAUUUCGGCUGCUCCACACUCCCGCCCGAGUGCUCGAUGAUAUGAAUAUGAUGUAGAUAUUUUUUUUGCCUUUUGCUUUCCGGCCGACACAUUGAUGAUGGCUUGUGGAGGUGGGGUUUGAGCUUCUUGUUGUUGAUUGUAGUGUGGAGGAGGUGGAUGUUGCAAGCUUCAUGUCUCAAUUGCAUUUGUCACGCAUCCAAGGCCUCGACGAUCUAGAUUAUGAUAGUGCUAGGUAUGCUGAAGAAGAAUAUAUCAAGGAGAGGAAUGAUCCCAAUGUGGAGGAGGUCAAAGAUCCCAUGGAUACUCAAGCAAGCACCAAGAGAUCAAGGACAAGAAACUACUGCCAAGAUGAAGGCAUUGCUUCAUGUCAUGCUUGGACGAACGAACCGCUUGAUGCAUUGAUUGGCCCAUAUCAAACCAAGGAGAGAAUCCGAAGUAGGAUUGAAGACUCAUAUUGCAACAUCGUGACCGUCUCAUCCAAACACACUCAAGGCUCUCUUUUUUCGAACCGGGAGGGGAGAAGCGAGUUCGACACAUUGAUAGGAAAGCGAGUUCGACACAUUGAUAGGAAAUUUGCCGCAUGUGCUAGGCAUCGAAACACAUAAGGAUGGCAAUGGGUAGGGUAUGGGGCGGGUAGAGCAAUACCAUACCCAUACCCGUGUAGUCAAUGGGUACAAAAUUCUACCCAUACCCGUACCCACGGGUAGGAAACUUUCCCCGUACCCAUACCCGACGGGUACCCAUUGUUGGGGAACGUAGUAAUUUCAAAAACAUUCCUACGCACAAGCAAGAUCAUGGUGAUGCAUAGCAACGAGAGGGGAGAGUGUCGUCCACGUACCCUCGUAGACCGUAAGCAGAAGCGUUAUGACAACGCGGUUGAUGUAGUCGUACGUCUUCACGAUCAACCGAUCCUAGUACCGAACGUACGACACCUCCGCGAUGCGCACACGUUCAGCUCGGCGACGUCCCACGAACUCACGAUCCAGUAGAGCUUCGAGGGAGAGUUCCGUCAGCACGAUGCCGUGAUGACGGUGAUGAUGAUGCUACCGACGCAGGGCUUCACCUAAGCACCUCUAUGAUAUGACCGAGGUGGAUUAUGGUGGAGGGGGGCACCGCACACGGCUAAAAGAUCAAUGAUCAACUUGUGUGUCUAUGGGGUGCCCCCUUCCCCCGUAUAUAAAGGAGUGGAGGAGGUGGAGGGGGCCGGCCUCCUAGGCGCGCCCCAAGGGGAGUCCUACUCCCACCGGGAGUAGUAUUCCACCCCUUCCAAGAGUAGGAGUAGGAGGGAAGGAAGGAGGAGAGAGGGGGAAGGAAAAAGGGGGGCGGCGCCCCCCCUUCCUUGUCCAAUUCGGACUAGAGGGGGAGGGGGUGCGCGGCCUGCCCUGGCCGCCCCUCCUCUUCUCCACCAAGGCCAUGAGGCCCAUUACACUCCCCGGGGGGGUUCCCGUAACCCCCCGGUACUCCGGUAUUCGUUCGAACUUACCCGGAACCCUUCUGAAGUCCAAACAUAGUCAUCCAAUAUAUCGAUCUUUAUGUCUCGACCAUUUCGAGACUCCUCGUCAUGUGCGUGAUCAUAUCCGGGACUCCAAACUACCUUCGGUUCAUCAAAACACAUAAACUCAUAUUACCGAUCGUCACCGAACGUUAAGCGUGCGGACCCUACGGGUUCGAGAACUAUGUAGACAUGACCGAGACACAUCUCCGGUCAAUAACCAAUAGCGGAACAUGGAUGCUCAUAUUGGUUCCUACAUAUUCUACGAAGAUCUUUAUCGGUCAAACCGCAUAACAACAUAUGUUGUUCCCUUUGUCAUCGAUAUGUUACUCGCCCGAGAUUCGAUCGUUGGUAUCUCAAUACCUAGUUCAAUCUCGUUACCGACAAGUCUCUUUACUCGUUCCGUAAUGCAUCAUCCCGUAACUAACUCAUUAGUUACAUUGCUUGCAAGGCUUAUAGCGAUGUGCAUUACCGAGAGGGCCCAGAGAUACCUCUCCGACAAUCGAAGUGACAAAUCCUAAUCUUGAUCUAUGCCAACUCAACAAGUACCAUCGGAGACACCUGUAGAGCACCUUUAUAAUCAACCAGUUAUGUUGUGAUGUUUGGUAGCACACAAAGUGUUCCUCCGGUAUUCAGGAGUUGCAUAAUGUCAUAGUCAUAGGAACAUGUAUAAGUCAUGAAAAAAGCAAUAGCAAUAUACUAAACGAUCAAAUGCUAAGCUAACGGAAUGGGUCAAGUCAAUCACAUCAUUCUCUAAUGAUGUGAUCCCGUUAAUCAAAUGACAACUCAUGUCUAUGGCUAGGAAACUUAACCAUCUUUGAUUCAACGAGCUAGUCAAGUAGAGGCAUACUAGUGACACUUUGUUUGUCUAUGUAUUCACACAUGUACUAAGUUUCCGGUUAAUACAAUUCUAGCAUGAAUAAUAAACAUUUAUCAUGAUAUAAGGAAAUAUAAAUAACAACUUUAUUAUUGCCUCUAGGGCAUAUUUCCUUCAGUCUCCCACUUGCACUAGAGUCAAUAAUCUAGAUUACACAGUAAUGAUUCUAACACCCAUGGAGUCUUGGUGCUGAUCAUGUUUUGCUCGUGAGAGAGACUUAGUCAACGGGUCUGCAACAUUCAGAUCCAUAUGUAUCUUGCAAAUCUCUAUGUCUCCCUCCUUGACUUAAUCGCAGAUGGAAUUGAAGCGUCUCUUGAUGUGCUUGGUUCUCUUGUGAAAUCUAGAUUCCUUUGCCAAGGAAAUUGCACCAGUAUUGUCACAAAAGAUUUUCAUUGGACCCGAUGCACUAGGUAUGACACCUAGAUCAGAUAUGAAUUCCUUCAUCCAGACUCCUUCAUUUGCUGCUUCCGAAGCAGCUAUGUGUUGGAAAUAUGCCCUAAAGGCAAUAAUAAAUGGUUACUAUUAUAUUUCUUUGUUCAUGGUAAUUGUCUAUUGUUCAUUCUAUAAUUGUGUUAUCCGGAAAUCGUAAUGCAUGUGUGAAUACAUAGACCACAACGUGUCCCUAGUAAGCCUCUAGUUGACUAGCUCGUUGAUCAACAGAUAGUCAUGGUUUCCUGACUAUGGACAUUGGAUGUCAUUGAUAACGGGAUCACAUCAUUAGGAGAAUGAUGUGAUGGACAAGACCCAAUCCUAAGCAUAGCUCAAAGAUCGUGUAGUUCGUUUGCUAGAGCUUUUCCAAUGUCAAGUAUCUUCUCCUUAGACCAUGAGAUUGUGCAACUCCCGGAUGACGUAGGAGUACUUUGGGUGUGCCAAACGUCACAACGUAACUGGGUGACUAUAAAGGUACACUACGGGUAUCUCCGAAAGUGUCUGUUGGGUUGGCACGGAUCGAGACUGGGAUUUGUCACUCCGUAUGACGGAGAGGUAUCUCUGAGCCCACUCGGUAAUGCAUCAUCAUAAUGAGCUCAAUGUGGCUAAGGAGUUAGUCACGGGAUCAUGCAUUGCGGUACGAGUAAAGAGACUUGCCGGUAACGAGAUUGAACAAGGUAUUGGGAUACCGACGAUCGAAUCUCGGGCAAGUAACAUACCGAUUGACAAAGGGAAUUGUAUACGGGAUUGAUUGAAUCCUCGACAUCGUGGUUCAUCCGAUGAGAUCAUCGUGGAACAUGUGGGAGCCAACAUGGGUAACCAGAUCCCGCUGUUGGUUAUUGACCGGAGAGGCAUCUCGGUCAUGUCUGCAUGUCUCCCGAACCCGUAGGGUCUACACACUUAAGGUUCGGUGACGCUAGGGUUGUAGAGAUAUGAGUAUGCGGAAACCCGAAAGUUGUUCGGAGUCCCGGAUGAGACCCCGGACGUCACGAGGAGUUCCGGAAUGGUCCGGAGGUGAAGAAUUAUAUAUAGGAAGUCAAGUUUCGGUCAACGGGAAAGUUUCGGGGGGCACCGGUAUUGUACCGGGACCACCGGAAGGGUCCCGGGGGUCCACCGGGUGGGGCCACCUAUCCCGGAGGGCCCCAUGGGCAGAAGUGGGAAGGGAACCUGUUGGGAUUCGUAGCAUAAUUUUAAAAUUUUCCUACGCUCCCCAAGAUCCAUCUAUGGAGUAUACUAGCAACGAGGGGAAAGGAGUGCAUCUACAUACCCUUGUAGAUCGCGAGCGGAAGCGUUCCAAUGAACGUGGAUGACGGAGUCAUACUCGCCGUGAUUCAAAUCACCGAUGACCGAGUGCCGAACGGACGACACCUCCGCGUUCAACACACGUACAGUGCAGCGACGUCUCCUCCUUCUUGAUCCAGCAAGGGGAAGGAGAGGUUGAUGGAGAUCUAGCAGCACGACGGCGUGGUGGUGGAUGUAGCGGGUCUCUGCAGGGCUUCGCCGAGCUUCUGCGAGAGGGAGAGGUGUAGCAGGGGAGGAGGGAGGCGCCCAAGGCUGUUGUGUUGCUGCCCUCCCUCCCCCCUUUAUAUAGGCCCCCUGAGAGGGGGGGGGGGGGCGCCGGCCAAGAUCCCAUCAAGGGAGGGGGCGGCGGCCAAGGGGGGAGACUUGCCCCCCAAGGCAAGUGGGGCGCCCCCCACCCUAGGGUUUCCAACCCUAGGCGCAGGGGGAGGCCCAUGGGGGGCGCCCCAGCCCACUAGGGGAUGGUUCCCUUCCCACUUCAGCCCAUGGGGCCCUCCGGGAUAGGUGGCCCCACCCGGUGGACCCCCAGGACCCUUCCGGUGGUCCCGGUACAAUACCGAUAACCCCCGAAACUUUCCCGGUGGCCGAAACUUGACUUCCUAUAUAUAAUUCUUCACCUCCGGACCAUUCCGGAACUCCUCGUGACGUCCGGGAUCUCAUCCGGGACUCCGAACAACUUUCGGGUUUCCGCAUACUCAUAUCUCUACAACCCUAGCGUCACCGAACCUUAAGUGUGUAGACCCUACGGGUUCGGGAGACAUGCAGACAUGACCGAGACGCCUCUCCGGUCAAUAACCAACAGCGGAAUCUGGAUACCCAUGUUGGCUCCCACAUGUUCCACGAUGAUCUCAUCGGAUGAACCACGAUGUCGAGGAUUCAAUCAAUCCCGUAUACAAUUCCCUUUGUCAAUCGAUAUGUUACUUGCCCGAGAUUCGAUCGUCGGUACCCCAAUACCUUGUUCAAUCUCGUUACCGGCAAGUCUCUUUACUCGUACCGCAAUGCAUGAUCCCGUGACUAAUGCCUUAGUCACAUUGAGCUCAUUAUGAUGAUGCAUUACCGAGUGGGCCCAGAGAUACCUCUCCGUCACACGGAGUGACAAAUCCCAGUCUCGAUCCGUGCCAACCCAACAGACACUUUCAGAGAUACCCGUAGUGUACCUUUAUAGUCACCCAGUUACGUUGUGACGUUUGGUGCACCCAAAGCACUCUUACGGCAUCCGGGAGUUGCACGAUCUCAUGGUCUAAGGAAAAGAUACUUGACAUUGGAAAAGCUCUAGCAAACGAAACUACACGAUCUUUUAUGCUAUGCUUAGGAUUGGGUCUUGUCCAUCAUAUCAUUCUCCUAAUGAUGUGAUCCCGUUAUCAAUGACAUCCAAUGUCCAUAGUCAGGUAACCAUGACUACCUAUUGAUCAACGAGCUAGUCAACUAGAGGCUUACUAGGGACACGUUGUGGUCUAUGUAUUCACACAUGUAUUACGAUUUCCGGAUAAUACAAUUAUAGCAUGAACAAUAGACAAUUACCAUGAAUAAAGAAAUAUAAUAAUAACCAUUUAUUAUUGCCUCUAGGGCAUAUUUCCAACAGUCUCCCACUUGCACUAGAGUCAAUAAUCUAGUUACAUUGUGAUGAAUCGAACACCCAUUGCGUCCUGGUGUUGAUCAUGUUUUGCUCUAGGGAGAGGUUUAGUCAACGGAUCUGCUACAUUCAGAUCCGUAUGUACUUUACAAAUAUCUAUGUCUCCAUUUUGAACACUUUCACGAAUGGAGUUGAAGCGACGCUUGAUAUGCCUGGUCUUCCUGUGAAACCUGGGCUCCUUCGCAAGGGCAAUAGCUCCAGUGUUGUCACAGAAGAGAGUCAUCGGGCCCGACGCAUUGGGAAUCACCCCUAGGUCGGUAAUGACUCCUUCAUCCAGACUGCUUCCUGUGCCGCCUCCGAGGCCGCCAUGUACUCCGCUUCACAUGUAGAUCCCGCCACGACGCUUUGCUUGCAACUGCACCAGCUUACUGCUCCUCCAUUCAAAAUAUACACGUAUCCGGUUUGUGACUUCGAGUCAUCCAGAUCUGUGUCGAAGCUAGCGUCAACGUAACCCUUUACGACGAGCUCUUCGUCACCUCCAUAAACGAGAAACAUAUCCUUAGUCCUCUUCAGGUACUUCAGGAUAUUCUUGACCGCUCUCCAGUGUUCCAUGCCGGGAUUACCUUGGUACCUUCCUACCAAACUUACGACAAGGUUUACAUCAGGUCUGGUACACAGCAUGGCAUACAUAAUAGACCCUAUGGCCGAGGCAUAGGGGAUGACACUCAUCUUUUCUCUAUCUUCUGCCGUGGUCGGGCAUUGAGCCGUGCUCAACUGCACACCUUGCAAUACAGGCAAGAACCCCUUCUUGGACUGAUCCAUAUUGAACUUCUUCAAUAUCUUGUCAAGGUAUGUACUCUGUGAAAGACCAAUGAGGCGUCUUGAUCUAUCUCUAUAGAUCUUGAUGCCUAAUAUAUAAGCAGCUUCUCCAAGGUCCUUCAUUGAAAAACACUUAUUCAAAUAGGCCUUUAUACUUUCUAAGAAUUCUAUAUCAUUUCCCAUCAAUAGUAUGUCAUCCACAUAUAAUAUGAGAAAUGCUACAGAGCUCCCACUCACUUUCUUGUAAACGCAGGCUUCUCCAUAAGUCUGUGUAAACCCAAACGCUUUGAUCAUCUCAUCAAAGCGAAUGUUCCAACUCCGAGAUGCUUGCACCAGCCCAUAGAUUGAGCGCUGGAGCUUGCAUACUUUGUUAGCAUUCUUAGGAUCGACAAAACCUUCCGGCUGCAUCAUAUACAACUCUUCCUUAAGGAAGCCAUUAAGGAAUGCCGAUUUGACGUCCAUCUGCCAUAUCUCAUAAUCAUAGUAUGCAGCAAUUGCUAACAUGAUUCGGACGGACUUCAGCUUCGCUACGGGUGAGAAAGUCUCAUCAUAGUCAACCCCUUGAACCUGUCGAUAACCCUUAGCGACAAGUCGAGCUUUGUAGAUGGUCACAUUACCAUCUGCGUCUGUCUUCUUCUUAAAGAUCCAUUUAUUAUCUAUGGCUCGCCGAUCAUCGGGCAAGUCAGUCAAAGUCCAUACUUCGUUUUCAUACAUGGAUCCUAUCUCGGAUUUCAUGGCUUCUAGCCAUUUGUCGGAAUCCGGGCCCGCCAUCGCUUCUUCAUAGUUCGAAGGUUCACCGUUGUCUAACAACAUGAUUUCCCGGACAGGGUUGCCGUACCACUCUGGUGCGGAACGUGUCCUUGUGGACCUACGAAGUUCAGUGGCAACUUGAUCCGAAGCUUCAUGAUCAUCAUCAUUAACUUCCUCCCCAGUCGGUGUAGGCACCACAGGAACAUCUUCCCGCGCUGCGCUACUUUCCGGUUCGGAAGGGGUGACUAUCACCUCAUCAAGUUCCACUUUCCUCCCACUUAAUUCUUUCGAGAGAAACUCUUUCUCCAGAAAGGACCCAUUCUUGGCAACAAAUAUCUUGCCUUCGGAUCUUAGGUAGAAGGUAUACCCAAUGGUUUCCUUAGGGUAUCCUAUGAAGACGCAUUUCUCUGACUUGGGUUGGAGCUUUUCAGGUUGAAGUUUCUUGACAUAAGCAUCGCAUCCCCAAACUUUUAGAAAUGACAGCUUAGGUUUCUUCCCAAUCCAUAAUUCAUACGGUGUCGUCUCAACGGAUUUCGACGGAGCCCUAUUUAAAGUGAAUGCGGCAGUCUCUAAAGCAUAGCCCCAAAAUGAGAGCGGUAAAUCGGUAAGAGACAUCAUAGAUCGCACCAUAUCCAAUAGAGUGCGAUUACGACGUUCGGACACACCGUUUCGCUGAGGUGUUCCAGGCGGCAUGAGUUGUGAAACGAUUCCACAUUUCCUUAAGUGCGCACCAAAUUCGUGACUUAAAUAUUCUCCACCACGAUCUGAUCAUAAGAACUUUAUUUUUCUGUCACGUUGAUUCUCAAUCUCACUCUGAAAUUCCUUGAACUUUUCAAAGGCUUCAGACUUGUGUUUCAUUAGGUAGACAUACCCAUAUCUACUUAAGUCAUCAGUGAGAGUGAGAACAUAACGAUAUCCUCCGCGAGCCUCAACACUCAUUGGACCGCACACAUCGGUAUGUAUGAUUUCCAAUAAGUUGGUUGCUCGCUCCAUUGUUUCGGAGAACGGAGUCUUGGUCAUCUUACCCAUGAUGCAUGGUUCGCACGUGUCAAAUGAUUCGUAAUCAAGAGACUCCAAAAGUCCAUCUGCAUGGAGCUUCUUCAUGCGCUUGACACCAAUGUGACCAAGGCGGCAGUGCCACAAAUAUGUGGGACUAUCGUUAUCAACUUUACAUCUUUUGGUAUUCACACUAUGAACAUGUGUAACAUCACGUUCGAGAUUCAUCAAGAAUAAACCAUUAACCAGCGGGGCAUGACCAUAAAACAUAUCUCUCAUAUAAAUAGAACAACCAUUAUUCUCGGAUUUAAAUGAGUAGCCAUCUCGAAUUAAACGCGAUCCAGAUACAAUGUUCAUGCUCAAAGCUGGCACUAAAUAACAAUUAUUGAGGUUUAAAACUAAUCCCGUAGGUAGAUGCAGAGGUAGCGUGCCGACGGCGAUCACAUCGACCUUGGAACCAUUCCGACGCGCAUCGUCACCUCGUCCUUCGCCAGUCUCCGUUUAUUCCGUAGUUCCUGUUUUGAGUUACAAAUAUGAGCAACCGCACCGGUAUCAAAUACCCAGGAGCUACUACGAGUACUGGUAAGGUACACAUCAAUUACAUGUAUAUCACAUAUACCUUUGGUGUUGCCGGCCUUCUUGUCCGCUAAGUAUUUGGGGCAGUUCCGCUUCCAGUGACCACUUCCCUUGCAAUAAAAGCACUCAGUUUCAGGCUUGGGUCCAUUCUUUGACUUCUUCCCAGUAACUGGCUUACCGGGCGCGGCAACUCCCUUGCCGUCCUUCUUGAAGUUCUUCUUACCCUUGCCCUUCUUGAACUUAGUGGUUUUAUUCACCAUCAACACUUGAUGUUCUUUUCUGAUCUCCACCUCCGCUGAUUUCAGCAUUGAAUAUACCUCGGGAAUGGUCUUUUCCAUCCCCUGCAUAUUGAAGUUCAUCACAAAGCUCUUGUAGCUUGGUGGAAGCGACUGAAGGAUUCUGUCAAUGACCGCAUCAUCCGGGAGAUUAACUCCCAGCUGAGAUAAGCGGUUGUGCAACCCAGACAUUCUGUGUAUGUGCUCACUAACAGAACUAUUCUCCUCCAUUUUACAGCUGAAGAACUUGUCGGAGACUUCAUAUCUCUCGACCCGGGCAUGAUCUUGGAAAACCAUUUUCAGCUCCACGAACAUCUCAUAUGCUCCAUGUUUCUCAAAACGCUUUUGGAGACCCGGUUCUAAGCUGUAAAGCAUGCCACACUGAACGAGGGAGUAAUCAUCAGCACGCUGCUGCCAAGCGUUCAUAACGUCUUGGUUCUCUGGGAUUGGUGCUUCACCUAGCGGUGCUUCUAAGACAUAAUCUUUCUUGGCUGCUAUGAGGAUGAUCCUCAGGUUCCGGACCCAGUCCGUAUAGUUGCUGCCAUCAUCUUUCAGCUUGGUUUUCUCUAGGAACGCAUUGAAAUUGAGGACAACGUGGGCCAUUUGAUCUACAAGACAUAGUGUAAAGAUUUUUAGACUAAGUUCAUGAUAAUUAAGUUCAUCUAAUCAAAUUACUCAAUGAACUCCCACUCAUAUAGACAUCCCUCUAGUCAUCUAAGUGAAACAUGAUCCGAGUUUAACUAGGCCGUGUCCGAUCAUCACGUGAGACGGACUAGCCAAGAUCGGUGAACAUCUCCAUGUUGAUCGUAUCUUCUAUACGACUCAUGCUCGACCUUUCGGUCCUCCGUGUUCCGAGGCCAUGUCUGUACAUGCUAGGCUCGUCAAGUCAACCUAAGUGUAUUGCGUGUGUUCCGAGGCCAUGUCUGUACAUGCUAGGCUCGUCAACACCCGUUGUAUUCGAACGUUAGAAUCUAUCACACCCGAUCAUCACGUGGUGCUUCGAAACAACGAACCUUCGCAACGGUGCACAGUUAGGGGGAACACUUUUCUUGAAAUUAUCAUAAGGGAUCAUCUUACUUACUACCGUCGUUCUAAGCAAAUAAGAUGCAAAACAUGAUAAACAUCACAUGCAAUCAAAUAGUGACAUGAUAUGGCCAAUAUCAUUAUGCUCCUUUGAUCUCCAUCUUCGGGGCACCAUGAUCAUCUUCGUCACCGGCAUGACACCAUGAUCUCCAUCAUUGUGUCUUCAUGAAGUCGUCACGCCAACGAUUACUUCUACUUCUAUGGCUAACGCGUUUAGCAACAAAGUAAAGUAAUUUACAUGGCGUUAUUCAAUGACACGCAGGUCAUACAAAAUAAUAAAGACAACUCCUAUGGCUCCUGCCGGUUGUCAUACUCAUCGACAUGCAAGUCGUGAUUCCUAUUACAAGAAUAUGAUCAAUCUCAUACAUCACAUAUAUCAUUCAUCACAUCUUCUAGCCAUAUCACAUCACAUAGCACUUGCUGCAAAAACAAGUUAGACAUCCUCUAAUUGUUGUUGCAAGUUUUUACGUGGUUUGUAGGUUUCUAGCAAGAACGUUUCUUACCUACGUAUGACCAGAACGUGAUUUGCCAAUUUCUAUUUACCCUUCAUAAGGACCCUUUUCAUCGAAUCCGUUCCGACUAAAGUAGGAGAGACAGACACCCGCUAGCCACCUUAUGCAACUAGUGCAUGUCAGUCGGUGGAACCUGUCUCACGUAAGCAUACGUGUAAGGUCGGUCCGGGGCGCUUCAUCCCACAAUACCGCCGAAACAAGAUACGACUAGUAGCGGCAAGAAGAAUUGGCAACAUCAACGCCCACAACUGCUUUGUGUUCUACUCGUGCAUAGUAACUACGCAUAGGCCUGGCUCAUGAUGCCACUGUUGGGAUUCGUAGCAUAAUUUUAAAAUUUUCCUACGCUCACCAAGAUCCAUCUAUGGAGUAUACUAGCAACGAGGGGAAAGGAGUGCAUCUACAUACCCUUGUAGAUCGCGAGCGGAAGCGUUCCAAUGAACGUGGAUGACGGAGUCGUAUUCGUCGUGAUUCAAAUCACCGAUGACCGAGUGCCGAACGGACGGCACCUCCGCGUUCAACACACGUACGGUGCAGAGACAUCUCCUCCUUCUUGAUCCAGCAAGGGGAAGGAGAGGUUGAUGGAGAUCCAGCAGCACGACGGCGUGGUGGUGGAUGUAGCGGGUCUCGGCAGGGCUUCGCCGAGCUUCUGCGAGAGGGAGAGGUGUAGCAGGGGAGGCGGGAGGCGCCCAAGGCUGUUGUGUUGCUGCCCUCCCUCCCCCCUUUAUAUAGGCCCCCUGGGAGGGGGGCGCCGGCCAAGAUCCCAUCAAGGGAGGGGGCGGCGGCCAAGGGGGGAGACUUGCCCCCCAAGGCAAGUGGGGCGCCCCCCCACCCUAGGGUUUCCAACCCUAGGCGCAGGGGGGAGGCCCAUGGGGGGCGCCCCAGCCCACUAGGGGCUGGUUCCCUUCCCACUUCAGCCCAUGGGGCCCUCCGGGAUAGGUGGCCCCACCCGGUGGACCCCCGGGACCCUUCCGGUGGUCCCGGUACAAUACCGAUAACCCCCGAAACUUUCCCGGUGGCCGAAACUUGACUUCCUAUAUAUAAUUCUUCACCUCCGGACCAUUCCGGAACUCCUCGUGACGUCCGGGAUCUCAUCCGGGACUCCGAACAACUUUUGGGUUUCCGCAUACUCAUAUCUCUAGAACCCUAGCGUCACCGAACCUUAAGUGUGUAGACCCUACGGGUUCGGGAGACAUGCAGACAUGACCGAGACGCCUCUCCGGUCAAUAACCAACAGCGGGAUCUGGAUACCCAUGUUGGCUCCCACAUGUUCCACGAUGAUCUCAUCGGAUGAACCACGAUGUCGAGGAUUCAAUCAAUCCCGUAUACAAUUCCGUUUGUCAAUCGGUAUGUUACUUGCCCGAGAUUCGAUCGUCGGUAUCCCAAUACCUUGUUCAAUCUCGUUACCGGCAAGUCUCUUUACUCGUACCGCAAUGCAUGAUCUCAUGACUAACGCCUUAGUCACAUUGAGCUCAUUAUGAUGAUGCAUUACCGAGUGGGCCCAGAGAUACCUCUCCGUCACACGGAGUGACAAAUCCCAGUCUCGAUCCGUGCCAACCCAAUAAACACUUUCAGAGAUACCCGUAGUGUACCUUUAUAGUCACCCAGUUACGUUGUGACGUUUGGUGCACCCAAAGCACUCUUACGGCAUCCGGGAGUUGCACGAUCUCAUGGUCUAAGGAAAAGAUACUUGACAUUGGAAAAGCUCUAGCAAACGAAACUGCACGAUCUUUUAUGCAAUGCUUAGGAUUGGGUCGUGUCCAUCACAUCAUUCUCCUAAUGAUGUGAUCCCGUUAUCAAUGACAUCCAAUGUCCAUAGUCAGGAAACCAUGACUACCUGUUGAUCAACGAGCUAGUCAACUAGAGGCUUACUAGGGACACGUUGUGGUCUAUGUAUUCACACAUGUAUUACGAUUUCCGGAUAAUACAAUUAUAGCAUGAACAAUAGACAAUUACCAUGAACAAAGAAAUAUAAUAAUAACCAUUUAUUAUUGCCUCUAGGGCAUAUUUCCAACAGAACCAGCCCUUAGUGGGCUGGGGCGCCCCCCAUGGGCCUUCCCCCUGCGCCUAGGGUUGGAAACCCUAGGGUGGGGGGGCGCCCCACUUGCCUUGGGGGGCAUGUCUCCCCCCUGGCCGCCACCCCCCCAUGCAGAUGGGUCUUGGACGGCGCCCCCCUCCCAGGGGGCCUAUAUAAAGGGGGGGAGAGAGGGCAGCAGGACUACAGCCUUUGGCGCCUCCCUCCUCCCCUGCUACACCUCUCCCUCUCGCAGAAGCUCGGCGAAGCCCUGCCGAGAUCCCGCUACAUCCACCACCACGCCGUCGUGCUGCUGGAUCUCCAUCAACCUCUCCUUCCCCCUUGCUGGAUCAAGAAGGAGGAGACAUCGCUGCUCCGUACGUGUGUUGAACGCGGAGGUGCCGUCCGUUCGGCACUCGGUCAUCGGUGAUUUGGAUCACGGCGAGUACGACUCCAUCAACCUCGUUCAUUGGAACGCUUCCGCUCGCGAUCUACAAGGGUAUGUAGAUGCACUCCUUUCCCCUCGUUGCUAGUAUACUCCAUAGAUGGAUCUUGGUGAGCGUAGGAAAAUUUUAAAAUUCUGAUACGAUCCCCAAAAGUGGUAUCAGAGCCAGGCCUAUGCGUAGUUACUAUGCACGAGUAGAACACAAAGCAGUUGUGGGCGUAGAUGUUGCCAAUGCUUCUUGCCGCUACUAGUCUUAUCUUGUUUCAGCGGUAUUGUGGGAUGAAGCGGCCCGGACCGACCUUACACGUACGCUUACGUGAGACAGGUUCCACCGAUUGACAUGCACUAGUUGCAUAAGGUGGCUAGCGGGUGUCUGUCUCUCCCACUUUAGUCGGAACGGAUUCGAUGAAAAGGGUCCUUAUGAAGGGUAAAUAGAAAUUGGCACAUCACGUUGUGGUUUUACGUAGGUAAGAAACGUUCUUGCUAGAAACCUAUUCAAGCCACGUAAAAACUUGCAACAACAAUUAGAGGACGUCUAACUUGUUUUUGCAGCAUAUGCUAUGUGAUGUGAUAUGGCCAGAAGAUGUGAUGAAUGAUAUAUGUGAUGUAUGAGAUUGAUCAUAUUCUUGUAAUAGGAAUCACGACUUGCAUGUCGAUGAGUAUGACAACCGGCAGGAGCCAUAGGAGUUGUCUUUAUUAUUUUGUAUGACCUGCGUGUCAUUGAAUAACGCCAUGUAAAUUACUUUACUUUAUUGCUAAACGUGUUAGCCGUAGAAGUAGAAGUAAUCGUUGGCGUGACAACUUCAUGAAGACAUAAUGAUGGAGAUCAUGAUGAUGGAGAUCAUGGUGUCAUGCCGGUGACGAAGAUGAUCAUGGUGCCCCGAAGAUGGAGAUCAAAGGAGCAAAAUGAUAUUGGCCAUAUCACGUCACUAUUUGAUUGCAUGUGAUGUUUAUCAUGUUUUGCAUCUUAUUUGCUUAGAACGACGGUAGUAAGUAAGAUGAUCCCUUAUAAUAAUUUCAAGAAAGUGUUCACCCUAACUGUGCACCGUUGCGAAGGUUCGUUGUUUCGAAGCACCACGUGAUGAUCGGGUGUGAUAGAUUCUAACGUUCGCAUACAAUGGGUGUUAACGAGCCUAGCAUGUACAAACAUGGCCUCGGAACACACGCAAUACACUUAGGUUGACUUGACGAGCCUAGCAUGUACAGACAUGGCCUCGGAACACGGAGGACCGAAAGGUCGAGCAUGAGUUGUAUAGAAGAUACGAUCAACAUGGAGAUGUUCACCGAUCUUGACUAGUCCGUCUCACGUGAUGAUCGGACACGGCCUAGUUAACUCGGAUCAUGUUUCACUUAGAUGACUAGAGGGAUGUCUAUCUGAGUGGGAGUUCAUUGAAUAAUUUGAUUAUAUGAACUUAAUUAUCAUGAACUUAGUCUAAAAUCUUUACAAUAUGUCUUGCAGAUCAAAUGGCCCACGUUGUCCUCAACUUCAACGCGUUCCUAGAGAAAACCAAGCUGAAAGAUGAUGGCAGCAACUAUACGGACUGGGUCCGGAACCUGAGGAUCAUCCUCAUAGCAGCCAAGAAAGAUUAUAUCUUAGAAGCGCCGCUAGGUGAAGCACCAAUCCCAGAGAACCAAGACGUUACGAAUGCUUGGCAAUCACGUGCUGAUGAUUACUCCCUCGUUCAGUGCGGCAUGCUUUAUAGCUUAGAACCGGGUCUCCAAAAGCGUUUUGAGAAACAUGGAGCAUAUGAGAUGUUCGAAGAGCUGAAAAUGGUUUUCCAAGCUCAUGCCCGGGUCGAGAGAUAUGAAGUCUCCGACAAGUUCUUCAGCUGUAAAAUGGAGGAGAAUAGUUCUGUUAGUGAGCACAUACUCAGAAUGUCUGGGUUGCACAACCGCUUGUCUCAGCUGGGAGUUAAUCUCCCGGAUGACGCGGUCAUUGACAGAAUCCUUCAGUCGCUUCCACCAAGCUACAAGAGCUUUGUGAUGAACUUCAAUAUGCAGGGGAUGGAAAAGACCAUUCCCGAGGUAUAUUCAAUGCUAAAAUCAGCGGAGGUGGAGAUCAGAAAAGAACAUCAAGUGUUGAUGGUGAAUAAAACCACUAAGUUCAAGAAGGGCAAGGGUAAGAAGAACUUCAAGAAGGACGGCAAGGGAGUUGCCGCGCCCGGUAAGCCAGUUGCCGGGAAGAAGUCAAAGAAUGGACCCAAGCCUAAGACUGAGUGCUUUUAUUGCAAGGGAAGUGGUCACUGGAAGCGGAACUGCCCCAAAUACUUAGCGGACAAGAAGGCCGGCAACACCAAAGGUAUAUGUGAUAUACAUGUAAUUGAUGUGUACCUUACCAGUACUCGUAGUAGCUCCUGGGUAUUUGAUACCGGUGCGGUUGCUCAUAUUUGUAACUCAAAACAGGAACUGCGGAAUAAACGGAGACUGGCAAAGGACGAGGUGACGAUGCGCGUCGGGAAUGGUUCCAAGGUCGAUGUGAUCGCCGUCGGCACACUACCUCUGCAUCUACCUACGGGAUUAGUUUUAAACCUCAAUAAUUGUUAUUUAGUGCCAACUUUGAGCAUGAACAUUGUAUCUGGAUCUCGUUUAAUUCGAGAUGGCUACUCAUUUAAAUCCGAGAAUAAUGGUUGUUCUAUUUAUUUGAGAGAUAUGUUUUAUGGUCAUGCCCCGCUGGUCAAUGGUUUAUUCUUGAUGAAUCUCGAACGUGAUGUUAUACAUAUUCGUAGUGUGAAUACCAAAAGAUGUAAAGUUGAUAACGAUAGUCCCACAUACUUGUGGCACUGCCGCCUUGGUCACAUUGGUGUCAAGCGCAUGAAGAAGCUCCAUGCAGAUGGACUUUUGGAGUCUCUUGAUUACGAAUCAUUUGACACGUGCGAACCAUGCCUCAUGGGUAAGAUGACCAAGACUCCAUUCUCCGGAACAAUGGAGCGAGCAACCAACUUAUUGGAAAUCAUACAUACCGAUGUGUGCGGUCCAAUGAGUGUUGAGGCUCGCGGAGGAUAUCGUUAUGUUCUCACUCUCACUGAUGAUUUAAGUAGAUAUGGGUAUGUCUACCUAAUGAAACACAAGUCUGAAACCUUUGAAAAGUUCAAGGAAUUUCAGAGUGAGGUUGAGAAUCAACGUGACAGAAAAAUAAAAUUCUUACGAUCAGAUCGUGGUGGAGAAUAUUUAAGUCACGAAUUUGGUGCGCACUUAAGGAAAUGUGGAAUCGUUUCACAACUCACGCCGCCUAGAACACCUCACCGAAACGGUGUGUCCGAACGUCGUAAUCGCACUCUAUUGGAUAUGGUGCGAUCUAUGAUGUCUCUUACCGAUUUACCGCUCUCAUUUUGGGGCUAUGCUUUAGAGACUGCCGCAUUCACUUUAAAUAGGGCUCCGUCGAAAUCCGUUGAGACGACACCGUAUGAAUUAUGGUUUGGGAAGAAACCUAAGCUGUCGUUUCUAAAAGUUUGGGGAUGCGAUGCUUAUGUCAAGAAACUUCAACCUGAAAAGCUCGAACCCAAGUCGGAGAAAUGCGUCUUCAUAGGAUACCCUAAGGAAACUAUUGGGUAUACCGUCUACCUCAGAUCCGAAGGCAAGAUCUUCGUUGCCAAGAACGGGUCCUUUCUGGAGAAAGAGUUUCUCUCGAAGGAAGUAAGUGGGAGGAAAGUGGAACUUGAUGAGGUGAUAGUCACCCCUUCUGUACCGGAGAGUAGCGCAGCGCGGGAAGAUGUUCCUGAGGUGCCUACGCCGACUGGGGAGGAAGUUAAUGAUGAUGAUCAUGAAGCUUCGGAUCAAGUUACUACUGAACUUCGUAGGUCCACAAGGACACGUUCCGCACCAGAGUGGUACGGCAACCCUGUCCGGGAAAUCAUGUUGUUAGACAACGGUGAACCUUCGAACUAUGAAGAAGCGAUGGCGGGCCCAGAUUCCGACAAAUGGCUAGAAGCCAUGAAAUCCGAGAUAGGAUCCAUGUAUGAAAACGAAGUAUGGACUUUGACUGACUUGCCCGAUGAUCGGCGAGCCAUAGAAAACAAAUGGAUCUUUAAGAAGAAGACAGACGUGGAUGGUAAUGUGACCAUCUACAAAGCUCGACUUGUCGCUAAGGGUUAUCGACAAGUUCAAGGGGUUGACUACGAUGAGACUUUCUCACCCGUAGCGAAGCUGAAGUCCGUCUGAAUCAUGUUAGCAAUUGCCGCAUACUAUGAUUAUGAGAUAUGGCAGAUGGACGUCAAAACGGCAUUCCUUAAUGGCUUCCUUAAGGAAGAGUUGUAUAUGAUGCAGCCAGAAGGUUUGGUCGAUCCUAAGAAUGCUAACAAAGUAUGCAAGCUCCAGCGCUCAAUCUAUGGGCUGGUGCAAGCAUCUCGGAGUUGGAACAUUCGCUUUGAUGAGAUGAUCAAAGCAUUUGGGUUUACACAGACUUAUGGAGAAGCCUGUGUUUACAAGAAAGUGAGUGGGAGCUCUGUAACAUUUCUCAUAUUAUAUGUGGAUGACAUACUAUUGAUGGGAAAUGAUAUAGAAUUCUUGGAAAGUAUAAAGGCCUAUUUGAAUAAGUGUUUUUCAAUGAAGGACCUUGGAGAAGCUGCUUAUAUAUUAGGCAUCAAAAUCUAUAGAGAUAGAUCAAGACGCCUCAUUGGUCUUUCACAGAGUAUGUACCUUGACAAGAUAUUGAAGAAGUUCAAUAUGGAUCAGUCCAAGAAGGGGUUCUUGCCUGUAUUGCAAGGUGUGCAAUUGAGCAUGGCUCAAUGCCCGACCACGGCAGAAGAUAGAGAAAAGAUGAGUGUCAUCCCCUAUGCCUCGGCCAUAGGGUCUAUUAUGUAUGCCAUGCUGUGUACCAGACCUGAUGUAAACCUUGCCGUGAGUUUGGUAGGAAGGUACCAAAGUAAUCCCGGCAUGGAACACUUGACAGCGGUCAAGAAUAUCCUAAAGUACCUGAAGAGGACUAAGGAUAUGUUUCUCGUUUAUGGAGGUGACGAAGAGCUCGUCGUAAAGGGUUACAUCGACGCUAGCUUCGACACAGAUCUGGAUGACUCGAAGUCACAAACCGGAUACGUGUAUAUUUUGAAUGGAGGAGCAGUAAGCUGGUGCAGUUGCAAGCAAAGCGUCGUGGCGGGAUCUACAUGUGAAGCGGAGUACAUGGCAGCCUCGGAGGCAGCACAGGAAGCAGUCUAGAUGAAGGAGUUCAUUACCGACCUAGGGGUGAUUCCCAAUGCGUCGGGCCCGAUGACUCUCUUCUGUGACAACACUGGAGCUAUUGCCCUUGCCAAGGAGCCCAGGUUUCACAGGAAGACCAGGCAUAUCAAGCGUCGCUUCAACUCCAUUCGUGAAAGUGUUCAAAGUGGAGACAUAGAUAUUUGUAAAGUACAUACGGACUUGAAUGUAGCAGAUGCAUUGACUAAACCUCUCCCUAGAGAAAAACAUGAUCAACACCAGGACGCAAUGGGUGUUCGAUUCAUCACAAUGUAACUAGAUUAUUGACUCUAGUGCAAGUGGGAGACUGUUGGAAAUAUGCCCUAGAGGCAAUAUUAAAUGGUUACUAUUAUAUUUCUUUGUUCAUGGUAAUUGUCUAUUGUUCAUGCUAUAAUUGUGUUAUCCGGAAAUCGUAAUGCAUGUGUGAAUACAUAGACCACAACGUGUCCCUAGUAAGCCUCUAGUUCACUAGCUCGUUGAUCAACAUAUAGUCAUGGUUUCCUGACUAUGGACAUUGGAUGUCAUUGAUAACGGGAUCACAUCAUUAGGAGAAUGAUGUGAUGGACAAGACCCAAUCCUAAGCAUAGCUCAAAGAUCGUGUAGUUCGUUUGCUAGAGCUUUUCCAAUGUCAAGUAUCUUCUCCUUAGACCAUGAGAUCGUGCAACUCCCGGAUACCGUAGGAGUACUUUGGGUGUGCCAAACGUCACAACAUAACUGGGUGACUAUAAAGGUACACUACGGGUAUCUCCGAAAGUGUCUGUUGGGUUGGCACGGAUCGAGACUGGGAUUUGUCACUCCGUAUGACGGAGAGGUAUCUCUGGGCCCAGUCGGUAAUGCAUCAUCAUAAUGAGCUCAAUGUGGCUAAGGAGUUAGUCACGGGAUCAUGCAUUGCGGUACGAGUAAAGAGACUUGCCGGUAACGAGAUUGAACAAGGUAUUGGGAUACCGACGAUCGAAUCUCGGGCAAGUAACAUACCGAUUGACAAAGGGAAUUGUAUACGGGAUUGAUUGAAUCCUCGACAUCGUGGUUCAUCCGAUGAGAUCAUCGUGGAACAUGUGGGAGCCAACAUGGGUAUCCAGAUCCCGCUGUUGGUUAUUGACCGGAGAGGCGUCUCGGUCAUGUCUGCAUGUCUCCCGAACCCGUAGGGUCUACACACUUAAGGUUCGGUGACGCUAGGGUUGUAGAGAUAUGAGUAUGCGGAAACCCGAAAGUUGUUCGGAGUCCCGGAUGAGAUCCCGGACGUCACGAGGAGUUCCGGAAUGGUCCGGAGGUGAAGAAUUAUAUAUAGGAAGUCAAGUUUCGGUCACCGGGAAAGUUUCGGGGGUCCACCGGGUGGGGCCACCUAUCCCGGAGGGCCCCAUGGGCUGAAGUGGGAAGGGAACCAGCCCUUAGUGGGCUGGGGCGCCCCCCAUGGGCCUUCCCCCUGCGCCUAGGGUUGGAAACCCUAGGGUGGGGGGGCGCCCCACUUGCCUUGGGGGGCAAGUCUCCCCCCUGGCCGCCGCCCCCCAUGCAGAUGGGUCUUGGCCGGCGCCCCCCCUCCCAGGGGGCCUAUAUAAAGGGGGGAGGGAGGGCAGCAGGACUACAGCCUUUGGCGCCUCCCUCCUCCCCUGCUACACCUCUCCCUCUCGCAGAAGCUCGGCGAAGCCCUGCCGAGAUCCCGCUACAUCCACCACCACGCCGUCGUGCUCCUGGAUCUCCAUCAACCUCUCCUUCCCCCUUGCUGGAUCAAGAAGGAGGAGACGUCGCUGCUCCGUACGUGUGUUGAACGCGGAGGUGCCGUCCGUUCGGCACUCGGUCAUCGGUGAUUUGGAUCACGGCGAGUACGACUCCAUCAACCUCGUUCAUUGGAACGCUUCCGCUCGCGAUCUACAAGGGUAUGUAGAUGCACUCCUUUCCCCUCGUUGCUAGUAUACUCCAUAGAUGGAUCUUGGUGAGCGUAGGAAAAUUUUAAAAUUCUGCUACGAUCCCCAAAACUAUGUACUCCGCUUCACACGUAGAUCCCGCCACGACGCUUUGCUUAGAACUACACCAACUGACAGCUCCACCGUUCAAUAUAAAUAUGUAUCCGGUUUGUGACUUAGAGUCAUCCGGAUCAGUGUCAAAGCUUGCAUCGACGUAACCAUUUACGACGAGCUCUUUGUCACCUCCAUAAACAAGAAACAUAUCCUUAGUCCUUUUCAGGUAUUUCAGGAUGUUCUUGACCGAUGUCCAGUGAUCCACUCCUGGAUUACUUUGGUACCUCCCUGCUAAACUAAUAGCAAGGCACACAUCAGGUCUGGUAUACAGCAUUGCAUACAUGAUAGAGCCUAUGGCUGAAGCAUAGGGAACACCUUUCAUUUUCUCUCUAUCUUCUGCAGUGGUCGGGCAUUGAGUCUGACUCAACUUCACACCUUGUAACACAGGCAAGAACCCUUUCUUUGCUUGAUCCAUUAUGAACUUCUUCAAAACUUUAUCAAGGUAUGUGCUUUGUGAAAGUCCAAUUAAGCGUCUUGAUCUAUCUCUAUAGAUCUUGAUGCCCAAUAUAUAAGCAGCUUCACCGAGGUCUUUCAUUUAAAAACUCUUAUUCAAGUAUCCUUUUAUGCUAUCCAGAAAUUCUAUAUCAUUUCCAAUCAACAAUAUGUCAUCCACAUAUAAUAUUAGCAAUGCUACAGAGCUCCCACUCAGUUUCUCGUAAAUACUGGCUUCUCCAAAAGUCUGUAUAAAACCAUAUGCUUCGAUCACACUAUCAAAACGUUUAUUCCAACUCCGAGAUGCUUGCACCAGUCCAUAGAUGGAUCGCUGGAGCUUGCACACUUUGUUAGCACCCUUUGGAUCGAUAAAACCUUCAGGUUGCAUCAUAUACAACUCUUCUUCCAGAAAUCCAUUCAGGAAUCCAGUCUUUACAUCCAUUUGCCAAAUUUCAUAAUCAUAAAAUGCGGCAAUUGCUAACAUGAUUCGGACGGACUUAAGCAUCACUACGGGUGAGAAAGUCUCAUCAUAGUCAACUCCUUGAACUUGUCGAAAACCUUUCGCAACAAGUCGAGCUUUGUAGACAGUAACAUUACCGUCAGCGUCAGUCUUCUUCUUGAAGAUCCAUUUAUUCUCGAUGGCUUGCCGAUCAUCGGGCAAGUCAACCAAAGUCCACACUUUGUUCUCAUACAUGGAUCCCAUCUCAGAUUUCAUGGCCUCAAGCCAUUUCGCGGAAUCUGGGCUCAUCAUCGCUUCCUCAUAGUUCGUAGGUUCAUCAUGGUCAAGUAACAUGACCUCCAGAACAGGAUUACCAUACCACUUUGGUGCGGAUCUUACUCUGGUUGACCUACGAGGUUCGGUAGUAACUUGAUCCGAAGUUACAUGAUCAUCAUCAUUAGCUUCCUCACUAAUUGGUGUAUGAGUCACAGGAACAGAUUUCUGUGAUGAACUACUUUCCAAUAAGGGAGCAGGUACAGUUACCUCAUCAAGUUCUACUUUCCUCCCACUCACUUCUUUCGAGAGAAACUCCUUCUCUAGAAAGGAUCCAUUCUUAGCAACGAAUGUCUUGCCUUCGGAUCUGUGAUAGAAGGUAUACCCAACAGUCUCCUUUGGGUAUCCUAUGAAGACACAUUUCUCAUAUGUGGGUUCGAGCUUAUCAGGUUGAAGCUUUUUCACAUAAGCAUUGCAGCCCCAAACUUUAAGAAACGACAACUUUGGUUUCAUGCCAAACCACAAUUCAUAAGGCCUCGUCUCAACGGAUUUAGAUGGUGCCCUAUUUAACGUGAAUGCAGUCGUCUCUAAAGCAUAACCCCAAAAUGAUAGUGGUAAAUCAGUAAGAGACAUCAUAGAUCGCACCAUAUCUAGUAAAGUAUGAUUACGACGUUCGGACACACCAUUACGCUGUGGUGUUCCGGGUGGCGUGAGUUGCGAAACUAUUCCGCAUUGUUUCAAAUGAAGACUAAACUCGUAACUCAAAUAUUCUCCUCCACGAUCAGAUCGCAGAAACUUUAUUUUCUUGUUACGAUGAUUUUCCACUUCACUCUGAAAUUCUUUGAACUUUUCAAAUGUUUCAGACUUAUGUUUCAUCAAGUAGAUAUACCCAUAUCUGCUCAAAUCAUCUGUGAAGGUGAGAAAAUAACAAUAUCCGCCACGAGCCUCAAUAUUCAUCGGACCACAUACAUCUGUAUGUAUGAUUUCCAACAAAUCUAUUGCUCUCUCCAUAGUUUCGGAGAACGGUGUUUUGGUCAUCUUGCCAUAAGGCACGGUUCGCAAGUACCAAGUGAUUCAAAAUCAAGUGAUUCCAAAAUUCCAUCAGUAUAGAGUUUCUUCAUGCGCUUUACACCGAUAUGACCCAAACGGCAGUGCCACAAAUAAGUUGGACUGUCAUUACUAACUCUGCAUUUUUUGGCUUCAAUAUUAUGAAUAUGUGUAUCACUACUAUCGAGAUUCAUAAAAAAUAGACCACUCUUCAAGGGUGCAUGACCAUAAAAGAUAUUACUCAUAUAAAUAGAACAACCAUUAUUCUAUGAUUUAAAUGAAUAAUCGUCUCGCAUCAAACAAGAUCCAGAUAUAAUGUUCAUGCUCAACACUGGCACCAAAUAACAAUUAUUCAGGUCUGAAACUAAUCCCGAAGGUAGAUGUAGAGGUAGCGUCCCGACCGCGAUCACAUCGACUUUGGAACCAUUUCCCACGCGCAUCGUCACCUCGUCCUUAGCCAAUCUUCGAUUAAUCCAUAGUCCCUGUUUCGAGUUUCAAAUAUUAGCAACAGAACCAGUAUCAAAUACCCAGGCGCUACUGCAAGCAUUAGUAAGGUACACAUCAAUAACAUGUAUAUCACAUAUACCUUUGUUCACCUUACCAUCCUUCUUAUCCGCCAAAUACUUGGGGCAGUUCCGCUUCCAGUGACCAGUCCCUUUGCAGUAGAAGCACUCGGUCUCAGGCUUAGGUCCAGACUUGGGCUUCUUUACUUGAGCAGCAACUUGCUUGUCGUUCUUCUUGAAGUUCCCCUUCUUCCCUUUACCCUUUUUCUUGAAACUGGUGGUCUUGUUGACCAUCAACACUUGAUGCUCCUUCUUGAUUUCUACCUCUGCAGCCUUUAGCAUUGCGAAGAGCUCGGGAAUUGUCUUAUCCAUCGCUUGCAUAUUAUAGUUCAUCACGAAGCUCUUCUAGCUUGGUGGCAGUGAUUGAAGAAUUCUGUCAAUGACACUAUCAUCCGGAAGAUUAACUCCCAGUUGAAUCAAGUGAUUGUUAUACCCAGACAUUUUGAGUAUAUGCUCACUGACAGAACUAUUCUCCUCCAUCUUGCAACUGUAGAACUUAUUGGAGACUUCAUAUCUCUCAAUCCAGUCAUUUGCUUGAAAUAUUAACUUCAACUCCUGGAACAUCUCAUAUGCUCCAUGACGUUCAAAGCGUCGUUGAAGUCCCGGUUCUAAGCCGUAAAGCAUGGCACACUGAACUAUCGAGUAGUCAUCAGCUUUGCUCUGCCAGACGUUCAUAACAUCUGGCGUUGCUCCUGCAGCGGGUUUGGCACCAAGCGGUGCUUCCAGGACGUAAUUCUUCUGUGCAACAAUGAGGAUAAUCCUCAAGUUACGGACCCAUUCCGUGUAAUUGCUACCAUCAUCUUUCAAGUUUGCUUUCUCAAGGAAUGCAUUAAAAUUCAACGGAACAACAUCACGGGCCAUCUAUCUACAACAACAUAGACAUGCAAAAUACUAUCAGGUACUAAGUUCAUGAUAAAUUAAAGUUCAAUUAAUCAUAUUACUAAAGAACUCCCACUUAGAUAGACAUCCCUCUAAUCAUCUAAGUGAUCAUGUGAUCCAUAUCAACUAAACCAUGUCCGAUCAUCACGCGAGAUGGAGUAGUUUUCAAUGGUGAACAUCACUAUGUUGAUCAUAUCUACUAUAUGACGCUCGACCUUUCGGUCUGAGUGUUCCGAGGCCAUAUCUGCAUAUGCUAGGCUCGUCAAGUUCAACCCGAGUAUUCUGCGUGUGCAAAACUGGCUUGCACCCGUUGUAUGUGAACGUAGAGCUUAUCACACCCGAUCAUCACGUGGUGUCUCGGCACGACGAACUUUCGCAACGGUGCAUACUCAAGGAGAAUGCUUAUACCCUGAAAUUUAGUGAGAGAUCAUCUUAUAAUGCUACCGUCGAUCUAAGCAAAAUAAGAUGCAUAAAAGAUAAACAUCACAUGCAAUCAAUAUAAGUGAUAUGAUAUGGCCAUCAUCAUCUUGUGCCUUUGAUCUCCAUCUUCAAAGCACCGUCAUGAUCACCAUCGUCACCGGGGCGACACCUUGAUCUCCAUCGUAGCAUCGUUGUUGUCUCGCCAACUAAUUCUUCUACGACUAUCGCUACUGCUUAGUGAUAAAGUAAAGGAAUUACAUGGCGAUUGCAUUUCAUACAAUAAAGCGACAACCAUAUGGCUCCUGCCAGUUGCCGAUAACUCUGUUACAAAAAAUGAUCAUCUCAUAAAAUAAAAUUUAGCAUCAUGUCUUGACCAUAUCACAUCACAACAUGCCCUGCAAAAACAAGUUAGACGUCCUCUACUUUGUUGUUGCAAGUUUUACGUGGCUGCUACAGGCUGAGCAAGAACCGUUCUUACCUACGCAUCAAAGCCACAACGAUAUUUCGUCAAGUAUGUGCUGUUUUAACCUUCACAAGGACCAGUCUCGCGUAAGCGUACGCGUAAUGUCGGCCCGGGCCGCUUCAUCCAACAAUACCGCCGAAUCAAAGUGUGACAUGCUGGUAAGCAGUAUGACUUAUAUCGCCCACAACUCACUUGUGUUCUACUCGUGCAUAUAACAUCUACGCAUAAACCUAGCUCGGAUGCCACUGUUGGGGAACGUAGUAAUUUUAAAAAAAUUCCUACGCACACGCAAGAUCAUGGUGAUGCAUAGCAACGAGAGGGGAGAGUGUCGUCCACGUACCCUCGUAGACCAUAAGCAGAAGCGUUAUGACAACGCGGUUGAUGUAGUCGUACGUCUUCACGAUCAACCGAUCCUAGUACCGAACGUACGGCACCUCCGCGAUGCGCACACGUUCAGCUCGGCGACGUCCCACGAACUCACGAUCCAGUAGAGCUUCGAGGGAGAGUUCCGUCAGCACGAUGCCGUGAUGACGGUGAUGAUGAUGCUACCGACGCAGGGCUUCACCUAAGCACCGCCACGAUAUGACCGAGGUGGAUUAUGGUGGAGGGGGGCACCGCACACGGCUAAAAGAUCAAUGAUCAACUUGUGUGUCUAUGGGGUGCCCCCUUCCCCCGUAUAUAAAGGAGUGGAGGAGGUGGAGGGGGCCGGCCUCCUAGGCGCGCCCCAAGGGGAGUCCUACUCCCACCGGGAGUAGUAUUCCACCCCUUCCAAGAGUAGGAGUAGGAGGGAAGGAAGGAGGAGAGAGGGGGAAGGAAAAAGGGGGGCGCCGCCCCCCUUCCUUGUCCAAUUCGGACUAGAGGGGGAGGGGGCGUGCGGCCUGCCCUGGCCGCCCCUCCUCUUCUCCACCAAGGCCCAUGAGGCCCAUUACAGUCCCCGGGGGGUUCCGGUAACCCCCGGUACUCCGGUAUUCGUUCGAACUUACCCGGAACCCUUCCGAAGUCCAAACAUAGUCAUCCAAUAUAUCGAUCUUUAUGUCUCGACCAUUUCGAGACUCCUCGUCAUGUCCGUGACCAUAACCGGGACUCCGAACUACCUUCGGUUCAUCAAAACACAUAAACUCAUAUUACCGAUCGUCACCGAACGUUAAGCGUGCGGACCCUACGGGUUCGAGAACUAUGUAGACAUGACCGAGACACGUCUCCGGUCAAUAACCAAUAGCGGAACCUAGAUGCUCAUAUUGGUUCCUACAUAUUCUACGAAGAUCUUUAUCGGUCAAACCGCAUAACAACAUACGUUAUGUUCCCUUUGUCAUCGGUAUGUUACUUGCCCGAGAUUGAAUCGUCGGUAUCUCAAUACCUAGUUCAAUCUCGUUACCGGCAAGUCUCUUUACUCGUUCCGUAAUGCAUCAUCCCGUAACUAACUCAUUACUUACAUUGCUUGCAAGGCUUAUAGUGAUGUGCAUUACCGAGAGGGCCCAGAGAUACCUCUCCGACAAUCGGAGUGACAAAUCCUAAUCUUGAUCUAUGCCAACUCAACAAGUACCAUCGGAGACACCUGUAGAGCACCUUUAUAAUCACCCAGUUACGUUGUGACGUUUGGUAGCACACAAAGUGUUCCUCCGGUAUUCGGGAGUUGCAUAAUCUCAUAGUCAUAGGAACAUGUAUAAGUCAUGAAGAAAGCAAUAGCAAUAUACUAAACGAUCAAAUGCUAAGCUAACGGAAUGGGUCAAGUCAAUCACAUCAUUCUCUAAUGAUGUGAUCCCGUUAAUCAAAUGACAACUCAUGUCUAUGGCUAGGAAACUUAACCAUCUUUGAUUCAACAAGCUAGUCAAGUAGAGGCAUACUAGUGACACUUUGUUUGUCCAUGUAUUCACACAUGUACUAAGUUUCCGGUUAAUACAAUUCUAGCAUGAAUAAUAAACAUUUAUCAUGAUAUAAGGGAAUAUAAAUAACAACUUUAUUAUUGCCUCUAGGGCAUAUUUCCUUCACCCAUACCCAUUGGGUACCCAACGGGUAGAUCAAAUAGUACACAAGUUAUUCGCAAUUGUACAUUCAUCUAUAGCACAUUUGGCAAAAAGAACAUUGAUCUCAACUCAAUAAUAGGUAGAUGAGCACAUGACAAUUAUGUCAAUUCAAAUUGACAAUUGGUGACAACUUUAACAUAGUUCACAAACUCAUGAUACAACUUUAACAUAGGUACACCUGUGAAUCAUGGAUAAGGUUCACAUGUCAGUAUAAAUGGGUAGGGUAUAUAUGGGUAUAUCCAUGGGUAAAAGGCUAUACCCGUGCCCUACCCAUGACUUAAUGGGUAGGGUAUGGGCACUACCCGAUGGGUAUAAAUUUGUGCCCAUACCCUACCCAUGCGGGUACGGUAUCCGCGGGUACCCAUACCCAUGGGUAAAAUUGCCAUCCUUAGAAACACAUGGUAUGGGGCGAAAACCUACCAAUACACAAAACACUACCAUACGACUGACAAAAGAGCGGUUCCACAGAGUCUCAAAUUGCAAGCUCAUAGGAUGGCCAUGCAACUAUAACCAUCUAGAUAGAAGCAUCACAACAAUAGCUUAUGACCAAUAGAUGCAGUCCCUUCCAGCAGAGUAAACACCUUCCGGGAUUAGCUCGACGAAGCAGUCGCCUCUCCCUGCGAGUUGUGCAACUUGAGAGUCUUUUGGACACUGUUGGGGCACCAUCCAAGAGAAAUGCAACUAGUGGUCCAGUUGUAUUGAUCAAGUCUUGCAUGCACCACUGGGUGGGGCACAAAUCAUGGAGUAUGGGCCUAUCAUUCGAGGCCUAUACAAGCAACACAACAAGAGGAACUGUGGCUAGGCCUUCACAUUGCACCAUUGCUACAAGGAACUAGUUGGCAAUGAAAAGUGGAUUUGGAGGAAAUUCCAGACCACACAGAAGAGAUCACGGAUUAGCAUAUCCGUUGAAGCCGGUGACAAUGAGGAUGGAGAUCCAUACAAGAGGUCGGGUGGGCAAGAACUUGCAAAAAAGAGAGGAAGAACCGGGGAGGCGUUGGUGCCUAUGAGGUGGAGCUUUGUGCUAUGAUUGAGAUCGAGAAAGCAUUUACGAGAGUGAAAGCAAAGAAGAGAAGGUGGCAAGGUGGAAUGAGCUCAAGUGCUUGGAGGACGAGAAGUGAAGGUCAAAGUUGGUGGCCGAAGAGAGGAAGGUGAAGGCGGAUUAGCGUAGAAUUUUAGUCGAGGAGGAGAGGCUUGCAAAAGAAAAGAAGGCCGAAGAGCAGACUAUCAUGUUCAUGAACCCAUGCAUGAUGGAUGCCACGACAAGGAAGUAUCGGGAGCUNNNNNNNNNNNNNNNNNNNNNNNNNNNNNNNNNNNNNNNNNNNNNNNNNNNNNNNNNNNNNNNNNNNNNNNNNNNNNNNNNNNNNNNNNNNNNNNNNNNNNNNNNNNNNNNNNNNNNNNNNNNNNNNNNNNNNNNNNNNNNNNNNNNNNNNNNNNNNNNNNNNNNNNNNNNNNNNNNNNNNNNNNNNNNNNNNNNNNNNNNNNNNNNNNNNNNNNNNNNNNNNNNNNNNNNNNNNNNNNNNNNNNNNNNNNNNNAUCUAUGGAGGAGAUGGUGGUGGUGGUGUCCAUGGAUGUGACGGUGGUGGUGUCUAUGGAGUAGAUGGUGGUGGUGAUGAUUUCCUUGGAGGUGAUGGCGGUGGUGAUGAGCAUGAAAGUGCUUGAGUUUGAGUUGCAUGCCUUUGAUUGAGCUCGAUCCACGGCAUAAAACAUGCCACGUUGUCAUGAUUUAGUAUUAAAUUUCAUCGAUGUGGUGCGUGCUGGAUGAACUCUAUGCAUGUUUUAAUUUGAUGAAUUGCCUGAUUAGACAAACUAUAUGCAUGUUUAUAGUUGAUUUAUUGUGUAUGUUCAAUUCAAAUCAUUCGAAUAAUUGAUGAAAUAAUGCCAAAUUGUUUGAAACGUACGAGACAAAGACCUUGCCCUAAAUUUCCCCCCUUUUAUGCAAGAAAACUUCCAAUUUAUUCAUCUUCAAUCAUUGCAGUCAACGAACACCAGAAAUAAUAAAAAUUACAUCCAGGUCCGUGGACCACCUAACGACGACUACGAGAACUGGAAGGCGCGCGCCAUCAUCGCCCCUCCCUUGCUGGAGUGGGGCAAACCUUGUUAUAGUAGAUAGUCAAGAAGUCAUCGUGCUAAGACCCCAUAGGACCGAUGCACCAAAACAUCAACCAUCGCCGAUGAAGAAAGUCGUAGAUCGAAAGGAUCAAAUAUGUAAAGACCCAAACGAAGACGAAUGGAUCCAAACAGAUCCACCGAAGACCAGCACUGACCUAAUCCCGCGAGAUCUGACAGAGACACCUCCACACGCCAUCCGAUGACGCUAGACGCACCGUCGGGGCAGGGAUAGAAUGUGGGAGAAAUUAUUCCCACCGAGGGACAUCGCUACCGCCACACAUCCCAACCAUGAUGCUGAACCUAAUAUGAACGAGAAUGGAGUCCCUCCCGCGGCGGGGGCCCGAGGUUCUCCGCACCUCCAUGGCCCAAAGGCCAUCGGAGAUGGAGCGGACCGGCGGCGGCACCGUCAGGAGGAGGGGAAAGCUUGAAAUCUUUAUUCGUGCCCUAAAUUUUCUUUGAAGUUAAAUAUAGCGAUUCGGCUAAGUACGGCCACUGUUUAACUCCUCAAAAUUAUAAUAAGUUAAGUAUAAGAAAGCAUAUAAGAAAGCAUAUAAGGAGUUAAAAUACAAGGUAUCGGCUAGACAUGCCCUAAGAGCAUGUUCUCCGCACCUACGAGGCUUAUAAUCUACCAUCUCUCUCUACUCCUAAUGAAAAUGGCAGGCUGUUACUUGUUUUGAAAAAGCCAUGAAAAAGAUACAACACAUUAUAAGCAUAUAUACCCGUCUUUCACAUAACUAGAAUGCACACAUUAAAAGCUCAUGGUGCCGGUUAGCCGCACGAUUUUGUCAUCGCUCUGCUGGAAGCACACGAACGCUAAUCCCGAUCCACCUACGUACGCACAAACGUCGUGUCUACGUACGAGCUUUGGGCUGAUCGUACGUGGAGACAUAUAAUCAAGAGAAACCACGCAGAAGGCUGAGAAAAACCAUUUUAUAUCAGUCGUCUCAGGAUGACAGAAGAGCCCUAGCUACGUAGGACAAGAACAAUGCUGAUCGCACAGCCUCGACGCCAUGGCUAUAUAUAUGGCAUGUCUCUCUACGAGGUACCAUACGCAGCAACAUUUGCUACAGGUUUACCAUCGAAAUACCACAAGCAAUGGCUUCUGCCAUUCCUUCUCUGCUCUUCUGCCUGCUCGUUCUCGCCCCUCGUCUCGGUAGCUCCUCCCACACCAGCUUCAUCAAUGGCGGAAAGCAGACCUUUGUCCGCUCGUCCGAUUCGAGGGUCCCGACCUGCUCGCCAGCGCCUUCAGGUGAAGUAUCGAUCGCAUUACUACUACUACAUCAGAACGUGCACUUACUAAUCAACUUGUCGACACAUAUGCACAGAUGGCGGUGAAGUACCGGCAGGACGCCUACCUGUAAUGCACCGGCUGAGCCCGUGCUCUCCUUCCAGCGCCGGCGAGGGCAAAAGCAUGUUAUCUGCCGGCGACGCCUUCGACCGCGAUGCCCUCCGUCUGCGCGCUAUCUUCAGAGAGUCGGAGCCGGAGGACUCCAAGGUUGGGCUCACCAUCCCCGCGACCGGCGCUCCCCUCGCGGCUCUUCCGGGCGCGGCGGACUACAACGUCGUCGUCGGCUUCGGCAACCCGGUGCAGAAACUCGCCGUGGGGUUCGACACGGCCACCGUGGGAGCAACGCUGCUCCAGUGCAAGCCGUGCUCCGCCGACGGGGACCCGUGCGACAAGUUCUUCGACCCCUCCCGGUCGUACUCCCUCGCCCAGAUCCCGUGCGCCUCGCCAGACUGCCCGUUGAGAGCGUGCUCCGAGCCCAGUAGCUGCACGUUCGCCCUGAAGAAGAAGGGCGCCGUGCUGGUCAACGCCACCGUCGUCACCGACACGCUCACGGUCUCGCGGUCAGCCUCCGCGAACGACUUCAGGUUCGCGUGCUUGGAGAUGGGCGCCGGGACGACGGAAAGCUCGUCGGGAGUCCUCGAUCUCAGCAGGGAGCGCCACUCACUGGCGUCACGGGUCGCUCUGUCUCCGGACACGGUCGCCUUCUCCUACUGCCUGCCGGCGGACCCGGGCUUCCCGGGUUUCCUCUCCCUGGGCGCGACCCGGCCGGAGCGCUCGGGCCGCGGCGUGGUGGGCAGCUACGCCACCGUGUGGGACAAGGCUUCCCACCCGAACCUCUACUUCCUCCGGCUCGUCGGCGUGAGCGUGGGCGUGCGGCAUCUCCGCGUCCCGCCCGCCGCGCUCGCCAGCGACGCGCUGCUGGAGGUGCACACCACCUUCAACUACCUCAGCCACCACGUGUACGCGGCUCUGCGGCACGAGUUCAGGGAGCAAAUGCGGGAGUACCGCCGGGCGCCGCCGCUGGGGGAGCUCGAGACGUGCUACGACUUCUCGCGGGAGAGCUCUUACUCGGUGCCGAUGAUCACGCUCAGGUUCCACGGCGGGGCGGAGCUCGUCAUCGACCACAUGCUCUACUUCAAGGACCCCAGGAACGUCUUCGGCGUGGCGUGCCUCGCGUUCGCGCCGGCGCCGGCCUACGCGCCCGCCGGCGUCGCGGUGGUCGGGUCCAUGGCGCAGGUCAACAUGGAGGUGGUCUACGACGUGCGUGGAGGCAAGGUUGGCUUCGUCCCAAACGGCUGCUAACUCAUGGAUCAAAUCAUCAAAUAAGGAUCGAUCGAGCACACGCGCGCGCGUAGCAUGCUCAUCGACCAGCUGGCGUGCGUGCAUCUGGCCACCCGCGCAUGCAAGUUUGCUUCAAAUCUUCAAGUAGUGGAUAAUAAGACUGUCAUAAAAGUGACCUUCGUGUGUAAGUGUGGAGUGGAGCUAUCUUCACACGGACGAAUAAGCAGCAGCUACAUAUAUGCCGUCGCUGCAGAUUUGAUUUUUUCCAUAUAUAUGUAACCACUGCUUACUCUUGAUUUUAUUUCAAACAAGGAUAUAAGUUUUCUUUGCGCGUGAAGAGUGUUGACGUAUAAACGCUUAGCUCACCUUUACCCAUUAGAUUGAGUUUUUGUGUGAACUAGUUAAUGCAUGCAGUUCUACAUGGUAAUCGAGUCAAAAGGUCUUGAGUGCAUGACUCUACCAACGCCUACAUGGCUACAUCGAUCCCACAUUUAAGGGCUAAAAUAGCCUAGACAAAAAGUUUUGAGUUCAAGACCCGGUUGAUAGAAUUUAAUAAAAAAAAGUUGCAGCCAUUUUUGGUCCACGUUUAAGUCUGAGGGAGCCACACGUGAAAUGUUGACGUAUAAAUGCCUAGCCCACCUUUCCCCAUCAGCUUGAGCUUUUGGGUUAACUGGCUGGUGCGUGCAGUUUUACAAAGGGUCAGGGGAUCUUUAUAUGUUCUGUCGAGGAAUUGUUUGUCGAGUCCCUCGACACAUAAUUUAUCUUGGGCGCACAAGAUGGUCUAAGAACCUGAAUGUAAUUUUUAUCUUUGGUAUUUUUGUACUAUUUUGACAAUUGAUGAAUAGAGUGGAAGUUUUUCUAAAAAAUGUAUCUUGGGCACAUAGAAAGUACUUUUAGGCCAUCUUCAAUACUGGCCCGCAAACCGGACACCGCAUCCGUCCGCGAACAGGGAAGAACCAGUGACCAGUCCAUGGACAUGGGUGCGGGAGUCGGCCAUCUAAGCUAGGCCGGGCAGAUUACAUGCAAACCAGAUGAUUUUCAUACAAACCAGACAAAACCAUUUCCAUUUCGGACAUAUUUCAACCAAACUACACUGGACUAGGCUAAAACUAGUCUAAUGCCGGCCACGACGGAUCUCCAUUCCCACGACAUGUCUUCCCUAUGUCCAGCAGCCCGUUCAUCAGACUGCCGUGAGCCCCAGAGGGAUAUGAUUCAGCAGCAGGAGAAGAAUAGCCUCCCUCCGCCACCGCGAAGCACGGAUCAGGGUUGGUUUUCGGGCAGGGGAAGACGGCCGUCGUGGCCUACACCUCCCUCACCGGGCAAGUCACCGGCUGUGCAACCUGGGAGGCGGUAGCAGUGGCCUUCAUGGUACCCAAGCGACGGCGGCGGCCUCCCAUGUUCUACUUUCCUUGUUAUCGGCAACGGAUGCGGACAUGCCUCCUUCAUCGUCGUGGUGCAGGGGCGCGACUGACGCGUUGUUGGUGAUGUCGUCGUCCAUGCCCCGGGCAAAUCGCUCCGCCGCCAUGUCAACAUCCGCUAGCAUGGCUUCUUUCUCCACCCGUCGAACGCGUUUCCGCCAUCGCUCGCGGUGGGUUUAUCGGGAGACGACAUUGGCCAGCCUGGACGGUCGAGGAUGACAUGGAGAUGGCAUUGGCACCUGCUUCGGAGGGCUUGCCGGUAAGCCAGCGUGUAACCGGCUGGCACUCCGGGCAACCCAGACGGCUCCAAUGUCGGCGAUAUCCUUCUGCUCGGGCGAGAGGCUGUCCUAGAGGGCUGUGGAGCUCGAUGAGGCCAUGGCGGGUGUGGUGCAAGGAGGAGAUUGAUGUCGAGGUGUUGUGUGGUUCUUGUCCGGCGCCUGGCCACGCUUAAAUACCGGGUGGAUGCGAGGCGUCAACCAGAGAGGUGUUUAAUGUCGGUCUGCAAAGGGACGGGCGUGUGGUGCUCGGGGUGCCAGAGUAGGUUCCUUGGCACAAGCGCUGGUUUAAUGGGGGUAGGCGGGCAGACGAAUGCCCUUUUUAAUGCGGAAGAAAAGCGUGUGCAGCGGGUGGCGCUCUCGGCUGACAAGACGCUUCAAUGUCGGUGUCAGUGAGAGGUCGUGUCUGCUCUGUGCCGACUUCAAUGCAGAGCGUAAGCUCUGGAGGAAAAGAGCGCGGGCGAGGGAGAGGAUUUUGGUUGGGCCAGGUUUGUUAGAAUCGGGCGUGCCAGCGGUUCUGACUCCACACACAUCCGUUUGCUUCCGGUUUGCGGGAAAAAAGACGUUCGGACCGCCUCGCGAACAGAUAUAGACCCGUGUUGGAUGGCAAAACAUGUCACGGUUGCAGGCGGUUCUUCUUCUUCUUCUUCUUGGUCCUCCCACCGCCGCCCCCUCCACCUCCUCCAGAGCCUGAUUAGAUGCUUGGCGAGCGCUCGCCUUGGCUUCGGCCCUUUUUUUAUGUGUUUUUUCUGGGCUUGUUGAGCUGUGCCCUCAGCAGUACCUUUGGAUCUCGGUGUGUUUUUUAGGUGUGUGUGUUCUGUACUAGACCUUGUAUAUGUGUGUGUUCUGUACUAGACCUUUGAAAGCGGGGCGAAAGCCUUUUUUUUUAAUCAGACACAUACGAACACCACGUCACCACCCAUAUGAUUCUCUCUCUCUCUCAUCGUGCUCAAAUUAUUCGUUCCCGCUUACGCGUAGGGGCGAACGGACGCCAGCUGGAUCGCCCGCACCGGCACCGAUGGAGCUAGCUUCCUUUGCCAAAAUUAGCGCGAGGGGUCAACGAGAGCCAGCCCGGGAGGGGGACCAUUCCCCCACCCCCACCCGCCGGUUGAGCAGAGGGAGGCAGCCACGGCGCGGGGGUGAUCGUGGGGUGGGGAAGCCUGAUGGGGUCGUGGCGCAAGGCCUACGGCGCCCUCAAGGACUCCACCAGGGUCGGCCUCGCCAAGGUCCACAGCGACUUCAAGGUCAGCCACCAACCAACGCAUGGAUGGGUCAUUCCUUGCGAUUAAUUUCUCUUUUCGAUGUGCAUUCCCUACCAUAAUCGAUGUGUGAUUCACAAGGCUAGCUUGCUUGGGUUUGACAGGAUUUGGAUAUUGCCAUUGUCAAGGCGACCAACCACGUGGAAUGCCCUCCCAAGGAGCGCCACGUCAGAAGUGAGCAAUCGAUCCGCUCUUUCGUCGCCUAGAAAAUUUAGGACGGUUUCUCUCGAUAAUUCAACCUGGAGCCCUCAUGUGAGCCCGGUGAACAGUUACCUUGAUUUAAAAUAGAAAAGAAAGUCCAAAAAAAUCUAUAAAAAAAUUGUGGUGUAAGAUGCUCCUGUGCGUGAACUCCGUGCAAAAUUUUGUGAAGUUUGGACAUUUGAGAAGCUCAUGGCAAAAAAGACAAAAGUAGGCGUGAACAGUGCGUUUUUCAAAAAAAUUCAGACAUCCGAAAUUUGCCCUUUUUACGACGAGCUUCUCGAAUGUUCAAACUUCACAAAAUUUUACACGCAACACACACAGGCCUAUCUUGCACCACAAUAAAAAUUGAAAUUUUUUGAAAUUUUUUCUAUUUUAAAUCACGGUACUGUUCAUGCCCAGACUCAUCUGAGCCCGGGCACCAAAUCACCGCUCUCCGGUUUAUCUUCCUUUUUUGCCAGGCUCAUCAGGUUCAUCUUGUAAGCUUGCCAUUUCGGGCCUGUUCGGUUUCUCUCCGCUCCCACGACUCAGCUCCCGGAGCGGAGCAAGCUGUUGCAGCUUUUUACGGAGUAGCUCAAACCGAGCUCCGCGGCGUUGAGCGGAGUGGAGAGAAACCGAACGGUGCCUUCGUCUCGCAUUGUUGCAGAAAUAUUCUUGGCAUCUUGUAAGCUUGCCAUUUCGUCUCGCAUUGUUGCAGAAAUAUUCUUGGCAACCUCGAUGACCCGCCCUCGCGCCGAUGUGGCCUACUGCAUAUACGCCUUGUCCAGAAGGCUGUCCAAGACAAAGAAUUGGACCGUGGGUGUCCUUCCUCCUUGCCUCCUAUCAAUUUCCUCAUCUUCUAUUCUAAGGUUUAGGUUAGAAAAACCAUGUUUCUAGUCUUCUUGUCAGCUCAUUAACCACUACAUUGUUCAUGCCAUCUCAUUGUAGGUCGCUUUGAAGACGUUGAUAGUGAUACACAGGCUUCUGCGAGAAGGCGAUCCUACUUUCAAGGAGGAGUUCCUGGCCCACUCACACAAAAGAAACCUUUUGCACAUGGCGCGUUUCAAGGAUGACUCGAGCCCAUUAGGUUGGUCCCUUGCAAUGCCUCCUUCUUUUCCUCCCGAGAACACGGAAAAAGAUUUGCAAGAUCCUUGCAUCAAGGAGGCAAGAUACCCGAAGGCAAUGGCAUUUCCCAAUUCUUGAUCGGUAGAAAUGGCGCCUCAACUGAUUCACCUUGUUCUUGAUCUUGGCAGCUUGGGAUUGCUCCGCGUGGGUUCGCACCUACACGCUCUUCCUGGAGGAACGGCUAGAGUGCUUUAGGAAUCUAAAAUACGACAUCGAAACUGAGCGUCUGAUGAGAUCUCCCCAGCAUUCUGCCAAGGUAGGGACUAUGUCUUCUCAGCAAUCGUGGCGGCGAAAUUUUGUUUAUUUGCCUUGUGCGGAUGGAAAGGCUGUGAUCCUGAGAAAUGCAGGCACACAGUAGAACCAGGACGCUGCCUUGCCUUGAUCUUAUGGAGCAUUUGCCUUCAUUGCAGCAACUGCUCUUCAGGCUUAUGGGCUGCCAGGUCUGAUCACUGCCCUGUUACACUACUGGCUUUGAGAACUGUUUACUAGCUGAAUUCAUGUUUUCACCUUUGCAGCCUGAAGGUUUAGCAUGCUCAAAUUACCUUAUUCAAUAUGCAUUAGCCUUGGUAAACCACAAGCCUUUUUUUUAACUACAAAGGUUGUCGUUUCCAUUUUACAAGAUAUCAUUUGAUCUAGGAUAUCUUAUGGCGGUGUGUUGCAUGCAUGCGACAGGCUUUGGAGGAGAGCUUUAAAAUAUAUUGCGCAAUCAAUGAUGGAAUCAUCAACCUUGUUGAUAUGGUAAAGUGAUUUUUCAUGACAUUGUAUUUGUUAAUAUCUCUGAAGUAUAACCAUAGAUUUCCGGAUCUCAUUGGUAUGAUCCAGUUCUUCGACAUGCCGAGGUAUGAUGCUAUCAAGGCUCUUGCAAUCUAUAAAAGAGCUAGCAUGCAGGUCUGUCAUCUUCUUUAUGCCAAAUUUGUACUUUGUUAUUGCUUUGAAUUAUACUCCCUCCGUCCCAUAAUAUAAGAGCGUUUUUGACACUAGUAGAAUUUUUGUCUAAUCCGCAGGUAGAAAACCUUGCUGAUUUUUACGAAUUCUGCAAGGAUCUUGAGCUUGCCAGGACAUUCCAGUUUCCUACUCUCAGACAGGUUGGUUCCUCAUCAUCCUGCUGCACAUCCCUUCACCUUGAUCUUGAACGAUGGAAGACUAAAUGACUAACUUCUUCAUCUCAUGAGCAUGGUGUUCUAAUGUGCUUUUCAUCGUGCAAUGUUCUACAGCCACCCCCAUCAUUUCUUGCAGCCAUGGAGGAGUACAUCAGAGAAGCGCCCCGUCCCACAAUCAGGAGAGUGGUGAGUGCAGUCCUGUUCUACAAAUAAGCCCAAGCGCCACAGCAGUUCUGUUGUAACACUCUGUUUGGUAACUCUUCCUGUUGCCAAAACAGGACAGUGAGGAGAGGAAGCUACUAACCUACAGCCAGGAAGCUCCAACAGAACCCGAAAAGCCGGCCGAAGAGGAGAAAGAAGAACCUACAAAGCUUGAACAAGAACCGGUGCCUGACCCUACGCCUGAGCCUGAACAACAACUGCUGGCAAUGGAAACCACUGGAGAUUUACUUGUAGUUCUCUCCAUAAGCUUUUUUGCAGCCCAUUUUUGUUCAUCUCCUCUGAAUCUCACUACUGUCUUUUCCUGCUUGCAUGCUUUAUGCAGAACCUGGAUGAGGAGGUGAAUCCCUUUGUCGUGGAUCUUGAUGAACACAACGCGCUUGCACUCGCUAUUGUGGGACCAGGUACAGAAGAAGAUCGCCAUAUAUCCCUCUCCUGUCAAAAUCUCUAAAAUAGCAUCAUAAUUUACAAGCAUGGUUGCCGAAACAUUGAUCAUCUAAUGUCCAAUUAACUUGCCUGCAUUGUUGCUUCCAAAUGUCCUUAGAGAAAGUAUCAUCAGAUGUUCUUUUUGGUCUCUGCUUGUAGGAGAUGGAAGCAAAGCAUCAACUUGUCAAGACUUGUUUUCUGGCAGCACAUCUGGGUGGGAGUUGGCCCUCGUCACUGCUCCAAGCCGCUACACCAGCCAACCAAUAGAGACCAAAUUGGUCCGCAUAAUACCGUUGCUAGUUAGCUAGUUUCCGUUAGAACUCAGUAAAAUUCAAACUGAGCAGAAUGAAUCACUUGAACAUUUUCCAUCUGAUUAACAGGCUGGGGGCUUUGACAUAAUGCUACUCGACAGCCUCUACGAAGACGGGGCGAGGAGGCAGCAGAUCGCCAGCGUGACCUACAACGGCAGCCUUGGACAAGCCAACAACCCCUUCGAAACGAACGACCCUUUCGCCAUGUCCAACAGCUUUGCGCCGCCUUCCAACGCCCAGCUGGCAAUGGUGACCCAGCAGCAGCAAUACUUCCAGGCUCAACAACAUCAGCAGCAAUACUACUACCAGCCUCAGCUGCAAUACUACCAGCCCCAGCUGCAGCAGCAGCAGCAGUAUUUCCAAGCUCAGCAGCAUCAGCAUCAGCACCAGUAUUUCCAGCAGCAUCCCCAGUAUUGUGUGCAUCCAACCGGAACUUACAAUCCGUUUGGUGACCCUUUCACUGACCUUGUAACACUGGCUGCUCCUUCAAAACAAGGCAAUUUAAGUUUGCUCUGAAUUGCUUGGCCCUGUUUCUGAUCUCAGUCAAUAUAGAUGGGUACUCCCAUUCUCAGUAGAGCAACCAGUACAAAUUGAAUUCUUCUAUUGGGUUAAGAUGAUGUACAGUUGUACACUACUGACCUUUGCAAUAUCCACAUUUGGAGCAAACAUGACCCAAGUACAACUUCCUUUUUUAUACUAACUACAUCGAAUAUUUCCCCAACAGAGUAAAAAGAGGUCAGAAAUAUAAACAUGUGGGCAAAACUGAGCAAGCUAGACUAUAAGGCUGCUCUCAUUUCAUAAUAUGUGUCCAAAAAGAAUGGGCUGAACGUGACAAAAACCCUGUUCCUCAAGAGAUGGGAGCUAGGAAACUAAAAAGGGAAAGCUAGAAAUACAAGAAUGAGAGGAAAAGGUGAAAUGGACAGCUAACAGAAACAUGCACAAGGCACAAUGGAUUACAAUGAGGGCAGUGUCCAUAUACUAAAUAGAUAUCACAUCAGCCCUACCUAGGGUCCCAGAAUGACAGGGCGUCGCUAUUGUUGUAGCAACGACAUGUCUCUGGCCCUGGAUCUCUGUUAAGAAGCUAAGUAUCAAUUGCAAAAUUUACAUAAAAGAAAAAAUCCUAGGGGAAUCCUAGGCCAAUGGCAAAGAAUCGUGUAGAAUUCAAGCAGAUGUGUAACUGGGAAAUAGCUUCAGUAGAUUGUUGACAGCAUCUGGGUAAAAUUUUCUUGCAAAAAGGAAGCAUGGUCUCUUUCUUCCGUUCAAUAUACAUGGGGUCGAUGUCACAGUUCUCUGCAAUAUAGAUAAAGAAAUAUGUCAAAUCAUUCAUGUCAAUGCUACAACACGACUAUUUGCAUCUAGAAAUUUUGCUGAACUAUUGGAAUGGAAUUCUUCAGAAUGACUGCUGAUUACACGAACACAAUAUCUUAAUGUCCAUUGGAUGGCGGUCUGGUAAUAGGAUUAGUGAGGCAUAAGGGAAACGUGUAAUCUUAUUACCAACUGGUUGUGCUAGUCUUUUGUGCUCUUGUAUGACUUGUAUGCAUACUGAAACUAUGCAACAAUAGAUGGCUGCUUGCAUCAACCGAUGCAGAGGCCAGGGGUUUCCCCUCCUUUUCGGAAAAAAUACAUCCAUAAAUAGUAAUCACAUGCAAGGUAUGUUUAAGUUAGAUUCCUAGUACAUGAAUGCAAAAAUUCAAAACGAAAAAUAUCUUCAGGCAUUCACAGGCAAGUACUAGAUCACAACAAUCAACUAAUGAUCACCAAGUCCUAGUAACAGAAAAAUCAUAUAUUGUGAUUAGGCGAUAAGGAGGAAUUGUUAUGCUUACAGUCUCAUCACUUGCAAUGUGCACAAUCUCAUUGAAAUACUGCAGAACAUUUAAGUAGUUGAGUCAGUGCAUAACAUACAGAUCAUGUUAAUUGGCAAAAUUGUGUUUCUCAUUUUGCAAGAUAAAAGCAUAUACCGUUAUGUUUCUUAAGAGUUCAUAGGUAAUAUCAGCAGCUCUAUAGGACCUCGGAUGCCAUUUCCCCUCAGACCAGUCAACAUGUGUCACUGAAUAAUUAGAGAUCCCACCAGGAUCUACUAUCUGAACAUUAAUGUGGAAGUAAAUAAAAAAAGCAAAUGGAGAACAGAAAGCUAGAUAUUGGUUCAAAAGAUUUAUUACUAACUUUGAACAAGGUUGGCAAAUAGUGCUCAUCAGCGAUACAGUUCCGUCCCACUGUUGGCUGCAAAACACAAAGCAAAAGCAUUGCUUAUCUAAAACCAACUUCCAAAGAACAGUCGCAAGGUGAAACACAAAGCAUAGGUUCUGAAAACAGCAUAAGAACAAUCAUGGCACCAUGUGAUGUGGCUAUUUGAGCCUGAUUUUAUAGCCUGAAAUAGAAGGCACCUGUCAGCAUGUGAUGUGGCUAUUUGAGCCUGAUUUUAUACAGUGCCACACUCUGCUGAAAUAGGAGGCACCUGUCUGAAGGUCUGUGAGCAUUCGUUUGAAGCACUAUCCCCCAUGAUUCCAUGUGGUUUUUUCUAUGAAGCAAUCGAAAUAAGGUUCUGCGGCAGAAGCCUUCUCCCAAUUUCAGAUCAUUUUCAGUUAUACAUCUUGAGGUUUAGACCUAAACUAACACCUUAGCAUUAUUAUCAAAUGUUAUUCUACAAAACCUACUUAUUUUCUCAUAGAAAAGGAGCUAGCAGUUAUCAAUGUAUGCAUGCAACAAGCAAUGACAUUUGCAUCAGAGUGAAACGUACCUUGCAAUAUAGCUUGAAUUUACGAUAGUAGAGGUUGUCUGACAUAAUCAGUAUAGCAUGCCUUCUUGUUAUAGCAAACCACUACAGGAAGCACAAAAUUAUUCAGCAAAGCAUGAAGAAAUCCAAGUGAUUACAUAUCUGCGAUAGGGAGGAUAAGGUGCAGUCUAUGCCUUUAUCUCCAAAUCACCUUGAUACACAAGUUAGGAUAUUAUCAAUCUGUUUAGUUUUCUUUUUAAGUUUGUUGGUGCUUAACUUCUCCUUCAGAUUCGGCUUAAGCUUUUUCUUUCCCAAUUCCUCUAUAUAAAGAAAGGCUGGCUAUGUGAUCCUGAUCGAGCUAUCCAUAAACUUAUUAAGAGAAUAGUAUCCAAGCCCUAAGUUACCGCUGUACCUACCAGCAUGCCAUUGUACCCCCUCAACUCGAAACCCACCAGGUCACCACAACUAAAUCUAGCAGAUGAGACCAACUUUAUCUGCAAGUCCAAUAAUACCCUCAGCUAUAAAACCAUUAAGUGUUACAAUCCCUUACCUCUCAACUGGUCAAAACAACCCCCUAUCCCUAAAACAUUAUAGUUUUGGUUGAUGUGACACUACAUGUUUCUAUGACAGUGAUGUGGGCAUUGAUACAAACGCCCCCAUCAUCAUUCUCUCUUUACAUAGGAUUCCACUCUAUAUAGAGUCGCCUGCUGGGAUGCCAGAUAAGCCAAGACAACUGAUGUGGCUGCUAACAUGUCGAGACCCACUCAUGAAUCUAGCCUAGGGAAAAAGACCGAAAGGUGGACAGUUUCAGUAGUUGGAGGGUGAGAAAGGAAUGGCUGGAGGUGUUUUCUGGACUUCUGGAAGAGUUGAGGGUGUAAAAUGGACUUGUUCCUUUGUGAUACCAUAUGCAUGUUGUGGUACAUUUUAUAAAACACGGUAGUAGUAGUAAAGCAAAACAUGUACCUGCGCACCCUUCCUGAAGUCCCUGUGCUCUAUUUCAGGAAACAUUUCUAUAGAAUACCUUCCACUUCCAUGAGGACCAGGAUCCAGGAAACUGAUAGUAUGGACAAACAAUCAAUAGAAGGCUAAAGACAUUACAUAUUUUACACUGCCAUACAAAGUGGGGAGCAAACAUAACUCCUUGCUAUAUUCUUUCAAAAAGGAAGAUACAGGUAAUGUAUUCUAAACUAUCCUUUCGAUGACGUAUGUGCUGUGUGCAUUCCUUUGACAUAAGAAAUACAAGUGAUAGUGAGAUAAAACGUGCACAGUGUAGCAUCUGCCAUAUUCCCAACUGUUUCCAUGUAAAUAGGAUGAUAAGCGAAACUAGACAAGAGUAUAGGUAUUGUUAUCAAUACAUGAGUUGAUAUCUUCUAAAUAGCACUAUGUGUUCUUGAUGCUACGCUACAUUUCUGCCUUUUGUGUUUUCUCUUCUUACAGGUAUCCAAAUAUUAGUUAAAUUUCUCUUACCUGUCAAUGAAGCUAACAUUUGUUCCCAUCAGAUAAUUAUAGAUGUAAUCAAAUGUAUGUAGUGGAAUACAGCUGCCAUGCAAAGAAAAAGGAUAUUAACAUACUGGAAGAAAAUUGACUAAGGAACCCUUUUGCAAGAAUUAUUGAAAACCUGUCAGAAAGCAAGACGAAAAAUUGAUUAUCAAUGUCUAGCAAUGCAUUUCCUAACAGCCUUUUCUCUGCAUCAACCAUUGAAACCCUGCCCCAUACUACCUGCAUUAUAAAGAAAUUAAAAUGUUUAGUUUUAUAAAGAAAAACAUGUAGCUUAUAAACUAAUAAUGUGAUGUGCUGUAUACAGAAAAAAGACAGGAAUCACAAAUUGCUGUGAAAUUCUAGAAGUUGGGAAUGGUUCUUUUGCUGCAAAGCAGUAUAGUGGUCUUCUUAAUUAAGAGAACCAACCCCGUACAAAACACAGGAAGUUGCAGCUAGACAAAAUAGCUCAUUUCACAUGCAUGACUACAAAAGACAGCAAGUUACAGCCAGGCAAAAAGCUCAUAUCACAUGCAUGACUAAUCCAGUUGCAUUCACAUAUUCCUAUGUCAACUGUAAUCAGUUCUACGAAUAUAUCAUGUACACAUUUUUUCUAUGCAUAUUGCAAUUUUAUAUCUCAAUGCAUUCUAUCAUCCAAUCAUCCCCAUAAUCUCACAAUAACAUCUGUUAUAUUUUGGUAGACUAGCUGAACAUUUGUGCUUUGCUACGAAAAACUAUACUGAUCAUGUUAAACCAAUGUCAAUGAACCAGCCUGCCUUACAUCUCAGUUGCAUUCUUGUGCUCAUCUGAGUUCUGCCAAAACCGGCAUCAUGCAUGGCCUACAGCCUCACACCUUCACAGCCACACCUAGUCAUGCUUCUUUACGACCCUUGUAGCUCAACUUUAGUUUUCUAGGAAGUGGUUAAAUUCGUUUAUUAAACGAGCUUAGCAAUGUUUCACUGAGUUGGUUAGUUUUUCUUUCUGUUAAAAGAUUUUUUAGCGGUUAAAAAAAGGAGAGAAGGAAGGCGUGGAUGAACCACCACCACCUCUCAUUUAAAGAAAAGAUUUUCUAAUCUUGCGGAAAUUCCAUAAGGCACAUGAGAUAAAGUCUCAAUAGUAGAAACAAAUUCCAUAAGGCAUACAACACAAAGAGCCUGUUUGGGACUGCUCUGCUCCUAAAAAUUCAGCUCGGCUCCAGAAAACACAAGCCAAACGGGGUAGCUCCAUGAUAUGCCGCUCUGCAAAAAAACUAGAAUCUGAGGUACAACUCCCAGUUUUUUAUGAAGCUCUUCAGGGGGUGCUCCAAAAAACUCUAGAAGCUGGAGUUGGGUGGAAAUUACCCACCACUGCCACCGGUAAGUGGAUACCCCUUCGUUUCUCCCUCCUCAAUCAAUCAAAUAGAUCCUUUCCACCAAAUUUCCCAUUCUUUAAGCUGGAGCUAUAUGGAAGCCAAACAUUCUCUUUGGUAGUGCUACAACUUCUGGAUAAAACUGCUCCAAAGUGAAUUUAGUGGAGCAAAACUGAUUUUGGUGAAGUGGAGCAGUCCCAAACAGGCCCAAAGUCUCAAUAGUAGAAACAGCAUUAAUCUUUUAUUAUAUAGAGACAUAGUAUGGCUUAUGGUCAGAUUAUGAGACUUGGGCAUCUUGUAAUAUGAGCAACAUGUAGUUAUCUCGGCACCCAUUUUUGAAUGAGCAAUCAAGUUAUCUUGCAUUAGCGUGGUUUAAAUAAUCACUGAAUAAUGCUAUAUAGACAAUCAGUCGCCAUUGUACAGUACUCCCUUUAUCCAUGUACUACUGCCCAAAUGCAGCCUUACACCCUUGUACACAUUUCUAACUGCGGUAUGAUCCAUAUUUGUUACUGUUUUGCCAGUUUUGCAUAUCAAUUAAGAAUGUAGCGAAAACACGAGCGAUGACAAGAUUUUCUUCUUUCUCAGCAACCACGAGAUUUUGUUACUUAUUUGAAUUCCAUCGCCUGAUUAAACGUGUGGAUUAAGAUAAACGGAGAAAAGAAGCAUACUAAGUAGUGGUUGAACUUCGUACCUUUUCACUGCGAAUUUCUCGGCCCACAAACAAAGGACUAGAAUGCACAGGCUUUUCACGCGACGCAUGGAUAUAGAUGGAAUAUCGUCCCUCAUGGCCCUGUAUACAGAAGUUCAGGCACACCAUUUCUCAUUUUAGAUUAAGAUGACAUUGCUACAUACAGACAUACUAUGAACUCUAUAUUCGUCUAAAAGGAAUAUGAAUAUCAGCACAGAACCUGCAAAAAUUUCUCCCACAAUUUCUCGAAGGGCAAUGAACCAGGUGUCAAGAACAUAAAUGCAAUCUUUGGAUUCUUGGACACGGGCAUAGGCAUUGAAAGCAAAUCCCUGAUAACCACAGACGAAAAAACUUCUUCAUCGGUCAGCUCCCGCCGGGUCACAGCAGGGAGCCAAUCCUUAAAGGGAGUACAAACACUUGAAGCAAAGAAGUAACAGGUCGAGUAGCGCCGUGGAGGAUAGACAUAAGCCCCGAUCAACGAAACACAAACAAUUGACAGUAGCACAAUUAUCCACAUGGGCUUCUUGGCAGUGCGGUGGCGCGGAUGUGGCAUGGCUGUCAUGUCCUUGCUGCCCCGCUGCCACACCCGCGGUACUUUCAUCUCCUUGCCAUUGCAGAAUCAAGAGUAAUAUACCCGGAUUAUACCCUCCGCAUAUACUUCAGAACGCCAAAACUACAUGCCACGUACCCCACAGGGUGAGAACAAAAUUAUCCCCCCAAUGCUGCCACCUUUCUGCAAUGCAAGGUUACACAAAGAUUAAUCCAUGAACCACAUUCAUCUACAAGAAACAAA